rnacentral:lncRNA from 1 species
UGAUGAUGCGAAAUCGGUGUGGACCUCUGCACCAAAGGUCUGAUAACUAGCUGAAGUUUCAUGGCUGCAGAUAAAUCUUUUUGCUGAAAAUCAUCAACCUCCUGUGUGUUAUUCUUCUUAAUUUUUCCGCCCAUGAUGCCCCUGGCUGUUUGCGAGCCGCUUCGCCGCAUCGUGAUCAAAGUGUAUACCUACCUACCUACCUACCUACCUACAGCUGGAAGGAUCCAUUGUGUUACUCACCUCUCUANNNNNNNNNNNNNNNNNNNNNNNNNNNNNNNNNNNNNNNNNNNNNNNNNNNNNNNNNNNNNNNNNNNNNNNNNNNNNNNNNNNNNNNNNNNNNNNNNNNNNNNNNNNNNNNNNNNNNNNNNNNNNNNNNNNNNNNNNNNNNNNNNNNNNNNNNNNNNNNNNNNNNNNNNNNNNNNNNNNNNNNNNNNNNNNNNNNNNNNNNNNNNNNNNNNNNNNNNNNNNNNNNNNNNNNNNNNNNNNNNNNNNNNNNNNNNNNNNNNNNNNNNNNNNNNNNNNNNNNNNNNNNNNNNNNNNNNNNNNNNCACAUUUCGCCUAAUUUUUCAUUUUGAUGAUUAUUUGUUGUAGAGAUGGACAAUGUAGUUGUAUGGUUAUGGUCCCCUUAGGUGUUGUGAACCCGUAUUGAUUUUCCGUAUAGAAUACUUGGUAGCAUGUUGAGCACUGUCUGUGUGGUGUUGGCUGUGGUAUGAAAUAUGAAUUAUGAAUGUUUGUCUGGUUAGUGGAUAUUUUUUGUUUAUGAAUGGUGCAAAAGAUGUGGGCAUGAUCCACAAAGAAGAGCAAACAUUAUUAUUCUUAUUAUGCUUCCAAAUGAUUUUCGCUUCCGACCAGUAUUUUCUUGGACUGAGCAUAUUUUCCAUGCUACGGCAUUGAUCAAUAUAGGAGUAUUUCAUUGUGUUUUAAUCGCAUGUGAAUUAAAAAAUACCAUUGCUCUGCAUGUUUAGGCAAACGUGUACUGUUUCCGAGCAAUGUUCGUCAGCGGCCUAAGAUUUGAGCUGUUUGCAGCCACAAAUCAUAGCGUGCAGAGGCCAGGAGAUAGAUUCUGCAAUACGUUGGGAGUAGAAAGCGAUGCAGCAUUGCCAGGCCCAGUCGGCAACGGGUGGUGACGCGCUGUGGUUGUGCAGGCAUGUCGACAGCUUCUUCCUCCCUCGCUCGCUUUCCACUCCCAACGUCAAUGGUGACGGUCAGAUAAAAUUGUUUCUCCCUCCCUGACAUAAUCUCACCCACGGCCGCAGUUGCGUACGAGCACAAGCAGGUUCCACUUGGCAAGCACGACUUCUCAACGGCAGUCACACAUGGUUCACAGUCAAUGUGCUCAAGUCAAUCCACACAUUCAUAUUUCAUCAUCAGCUUAAUAAAAAAACUAGACUCCGCUAUCCGCUAUCUUUUUUACUUAAAGAUAAUAACAGUAACGACAUACUUCCUCCGUUAGGGUUUGUAAGUCUCACUUGUAUCUUUGAUCAUAAAACUGACUAAUAAAUAAGAGCUAUAUGUAACGACAACGUUACCACGGGGAACUUGUUUAGAAUAAUAUAAUUUUAAAAAAAUCCAACAACAUGGUUUUUGUGGCAUAUAACCUAUGGGCAAAGUUUGAUCCAAAAUACAGCCAAAAGGCCAAACGGAGACCGAGCUCCAUGGAGGCCUUCAUUUGAAAACUUCAAAAUUCAAACUUUUCAGUUUCAAAAAAUUCUGAAAGAGAUGCGCAUAUACCUAGAUACAUAAUGUAGUACAUGUGUGCAAAUUUUCAGGUCGAAAUACGUUAAAAUGAGAGCUACACAAAAAGAUGAGGCCAUGAUUUUUUUUUGUGCAGCUCGCAAUUCAAAGUAUUUCAUCCUUUGUCACACGUAUCCAUUACAUCCUUGCAUACAUGUGUGUUUGUUCAGAAUAUUUAAAAAUAAAGAACUUUGAAAUUUUCAACAUAAAGGCCUCCAUGAGGCUCGGUCUCCAAAAUGACCCACCCCAGGGACUAACAAACCCAGCCAUAUACAGGGAUGAUGAAAGGCGAUAAGGAAGCAUACUAUCUUUUCUGCAGUUAUAUAUGUCAGACUGAGGAUUCAGUUAUUAAGCACUAAUGGCGCACAUGGCAGUCAGUAGCUGUUCCCAUCAAUCACACAAAAACAAGGCCAUCACGUGUAUACUUUCCUCGUUGCUACUUUGGACAACUGUACAAAAAGAAAAACACCACCCGCUAGAGGACGUGCUAGACAGAUAAACAUACAACACAAAAAUGAGGCUGAGGUCAAUGGAUCUACAGCCUGCGAGACAUGGAGGAGGGAUCACCCCUCCUCCGAAGAAAUAAACAAAAUGCUGCUAACCUUGACUCGCUAAUUCGAUCGGCCUCACAGGUUCAGAUGCGUGAAGAUCACCGGCACCAGGUCGACCACCGACCACGCAAGCCCGGCGUACUGCACGAACCUGAUGCCGGUGUCUACAUCAUACGCCUUCUGAGGGAAGAGGGAGAAGAGCCGCUGGAGGUAUCCGCCGGCCUGCUUGGCCUCGUCCUUGUUGCCUGAGCCGCCGCCAAUGUCGGAUGGCUUCAGCGCGGGCACAUAGCAGGACGAGACGAUCGGGACCCCCAGGGUGCUGCACAUGACCGGCAGGAGCCAUUUCGAGAGCGCCUUGCUACAGGACUUCACGGCCAGGAUGGUCGGGAUCCCCACAAGGACCCUCCCAGCAUAGGCGAGGAGGGGUAGUUGAUGGCUGAGAAUGAGGGGGGCUUCCGGGCCAUGGAAACGGGUGUACGUCUGCUGCACGCCGUAGACCUGAAUCGAUAAGGGUAGAGAACAGUGUCAGAUAAGGGUAAACAUGAUUUAUCAACAACUGGAAGAGCAUGGGAGAAACUAGAGCUAGAUUUAGUUCCAAGAAUUCUUUUGGGUCAACUAUAUUCAGUCAAUGGUGAAGACUAUUCUCUGCUGAUUACACUUCAAAUGUGAAUGGUAACUGAAUUUCCAUCACAAAUUCUUAAGUAAUAUCUUCCGUGUGAGCAGAAUUCUAAAACAAGAUUACGAGCAAUACAAUCUUUGGAUCAAGUAACCAUAUUUCAUACACAGAGAGGUCAGAGUUCUUACAAUUCCGAAAGCGACCCCGUUGAAUGCUGUGUGGAAUUCAAAGCUAGGAGUUGGGAAUUCUGGCUUUGGAUAUGCAAAGCAGAGCACUAGAGAAAGGCUUGCCCAGAAGAAUGUGACUGCAGAAGAAAACAACUAUGAGAAUGUUCUUCUCCUUUGGAUAUCACAAUUUAUUUAUCGCUACUAGAGUCAAAGUAAUGUUGAGGCAUAUGGACAUACCAUUUUGGCCGGAGACGACAAAGGCAUCAACAUGAUCAUGGACAACCAACCAGAAUGCAAGGAUCACGAUGCCAAAAGAGAUCCCAGCGAUAACGUCGGUCAAGCUGUGCAUGCCCAAGUAUACCCUCGCUAUAAAAUUUCAUGUAAGCCACAUCAUCAGUAUCUUUCGGUAACUGUAAGAGACAGUUGUGCGGAGAAAUAAAAGAACUCACCAAUUCCAAUUAACGUAACGAGCAUGAAAGCUAGAGAAAGACCCGUGGCAAUCGUGAAACCAUCACAUGGUCCAUAUGUGAGGACAUAAUGUAACAUGUAUCUGCAUUUUUCCAUGUCAGAAUUAGCCAGGCAAACCCAAUAAAUACAGCAACUCUUUGAUUGAAACAGGAAAAUACCCCAUCAAACAAACGGUGUUGAGAGCGUGCGAUGAAGGCAGUCCAUAUUCCAUGGCAUUUUCCUUCUCAUCUUCGGUAGCUGUGACUCUCCUCACGGGAGGGGAACACGGCCGAGGAGCUGACACUAAAUCCUACAACCACAAAUUCCCAAGGUGUCAACAACCAAACCAACCAAAACAGCAAAAACCCAGCUUGCACCCAUUUUUGUGUGAGUAGAUGGCAACCUUGACAGCGUUGCCCAGGUAAUCGCAGAAGGCCAGCAGCAGGGUCAUUUGCCUAGCCAGCUUGCCAUGUCCACUCUACACAUCCACGAAAACAGCUCAGAAUUACAGAAGCAGAAUAAGAGGCGAUUAAUGUGCCACAAGACAUGGCAGGGGAGUGGCUGGAGCAUACCCAGAAGAGGAGGGGGAGGAAUCCCGUGUAGAAAGGGACAGAGACAAAGCAUGACAGCACGGAGAAGAAGUUGUCCAGCAACCUGUGCUGCAGCCUCUGCAAUAAUUGAACAGACAGGGAUUUUUCCCCUUCAGAAAAAUACAAGCAAGAACAGCUUAGGAAUCGAGGCCAGGUUUAAAAUAAAAUGCAUGCAUCAUAGAUGUCAUCGAUGUUUUUGUACAAGACGAUGAUAAUUCUCCUCGUUUGUUUCAAGCCAAAUUAAUCUCUCUUUACAUGAUUCGAUCACCUAAUUGGUUCUUCUUCGUCCUAGGACUAACGAAUCGAGCAGCAACCGCGUGCUGGAACGGGUAAUGGUAUCCAGAUUGCGCAACGAGAUACCCCCAAAUGCAGGAACUGGAACUGUGCGUGGCCUUUCCUCCUUUGGAGAGAACCUUCCGUUGGCGGAAACGAGGUGGAAAAAGCAGGGAUUGGGGGGAGGGGAACGGACCUGGAAGGUGAGGAUGGAGGGCGUCUCGGCGUGGACGCGGCGGGUGACCCAGGGCUGCGCCAGCGCGCGCGCCCGGCGCGUGAGGUCGUAGUGGGAGGCCGCCCACACCCAGCCCGCCGCGCCCGACAGCGCCGCCGCCUGCCACCCGGCCAGCCCGGCGCCACCGGCCGCCGCGACCGCCUCCAUGUCCGUGUCUUUGUCCCUCCGACCGCCGGCGCCUGAUUCCGGGAGGAGCGCGCGAGAUCCCCACGACCACGAGAGAUGGAGAGGAGAGGUUGACUCGCACGGCGUAGGCUGGCAGCGCAGGCAGGCGAGGGGGGUUCUUGUAGGAGGAGCGGUGGAGGGGAGGCGCGGGCAGGUGGCGGUGGUGGUGGCCGAGGACGGAGACGGGAGGUGGUCUGGUUUCUUGGCGGUCUGCCGGCCGGCCGCCCCCGCUCUGGACCGGAGUCUCGCACCACCACGCGGCUAAGAAACUUUUUGUUUUUAUUUCUCGUGUUGUUUGAGGGACAGUGGCUAUUUAAUCCCGGGAGUCAGAUUGUGACUUCGGAAGGUUCUAAACUCCCGGGACUUUAAAUCCUGGCUCUUGAUUUGGCACGCGGUUGAAUUUUCUCCUCCCACCGAGAGCGAGGCAGAGUAUGGUUCUUCUUCUUCUUUCCUUUCCUUCGCGGAAAUCCUAAACACACGCGCCGUAAUAUAUUUUUUUUGAGAAUUUUUUUAUCUAUUCAUUUUCAAUCAAAAAGAGUACAACGAAGACCAGAAAUAAUAAAAAUUACAUCCAGAUCCGUAGUCCACCUAGCGACGACUACAAGCACUGAAGUGAGCCGAAGGCACGCCGCCGUCAUUGACCCUCCCUCGCCGAAGUCGGACAAAACUUGUUGUAGUAGAUAGUCGUGAAGUCGUCGUGCUAAAGCCCCAUAGGACCAAUGCAGCAGAACGGCAAUCGCCACUUGUGAAGAGUACCGUAGAUCGGAAGAAUUCAACCUGAAGAAACACAAACGUAGACGAAGUAUAACCAGAUCCGAGCAAACUCACUAAGGACAGAUCCACACAUCCACCAACGAUGCUAGACACACUACCAGGACGGGGCUAGGCGGGGACACCCUUAUCCAUCUUCAGGGAACCGCACCACCUCGUCUUUCUGAGUAGAACACAAACCCAAACAAGACUCGAAGGAGGUAUAAAAACAUAGCCCUCCCACCGGCAAAGAGCAGGAUCCACCGUGCCGUCAUGACUCUAAGGCCAACAGAUACGAGGCGGGGCGGCGGGAGACCGAGGAACCCUAAACAUUGCAGGUCUAUGGCAGUAUGUUGCAUGCACCACACGCGCCGUAAUAAUAGAGUGAAGAUAUAUCCAAGAAUCUUUACUGAAAUCAUACCAUGGUGUCUGUUAGGAUUUUAUGUUGGGAAACGUAGCAGAAAUUUAAAAUUUUCCUACGUGUCACCAAGAUCUAUCUAUGGAGAAACGAGCAACGAGGGAAGGGGAGUGCAUCUACAUACCCUUGUAGAUCGCUAAGCGGAAGCGUUCAAGUGAACGGGGUUGAUGGAGUCGUACUCGUCGUGAUUCAAAUCACCGAUGAUCCUAGUGCCGAACGGACGACACCUCCGUGUUCAACACACGUACAGCCCGAUGACGUCUCCCACGCCUUGAUCCAGCAAGAAGAGAGGGAGAGGUUGAGGAAGACUCCAUCCAGCAGCAGCACAACGGCGUGGCGGUGAUGGAGGAGCGUGGCAAUCCUGCAGGGCUUCGCCAAGCACUACUCAGGAGGAGGUGGAGUUGGAGAGGGGGAGGGCUGCGCCAGAACUUCGUGUAUAGCUCCCAUGCGCCUCCCCACUAUAUAUAGGGGUGGAGGGGCUAGUUUCUUGCCCUCCAAGUCCAUUGGGGCGUUGGCCAAGGUGGGAGGAAAGAAAUCUCAUUAUUUCCUUCCCCACCGAUUGUUAUCCCUCCUUUUUAGGGAUCUUGAUCUUAUCCCUUCGGGAUAUGAUCUUAUUCCUUCUAAGGGGGGAUCUUGGUGCGCCUUGACCAGGGGUGUGGGGCCUUGCCCCCACUACCCACGUUCAUGUGGGUCCCCCCAUGCAGGUGGGCCCCACUCCGGAACCUUCUAAAACCUUCCCGGUACAAUACCGAAAAAUCCCGAACAUUUUCCGGUGGCCAAAAUAGGACUUCCCAUAUAUAAAUCUUUACCUCCGGACCAUUCCGGAACUCCUCAUGACGUCCGGGAUCUCAUCCGGGACUCCGAACAACAUUCUGUAACCACAUACAAACUUCCUUUAUAACCCUAGCAUCAUCGAACCUUAAGUGUGUAGACCCUACGGGUUCGGGAGACAUGCAGACAUGACCGAGACGUUCUCCGGUCAAUAACCAACAGCGGGAUCUGGAUACCCAUGAUGGCUCCCACAUGUUCCACGAUGAUCUCAUCGGAUGAACACGAUGUCAAGGACUUAAUCAAUCCCGUAUUCAAUUCCCUUUGUCUAUCGGUAUGUUACUUGCCCGAGAUUCGAUCGUCGGUAUCCAAUACCUUGUUCAAUCUCGUUACCGGCAAGUCACUUUACUCGUUCCGUAACACAUCAUCCCGUGAUCAACUCCUUGGUCACAUUGCACAUAUGAUGAUGUCCUACCGAGUGGGCCCAGAGAUACCUCUCCGUUUACACGGAGUGACAAAUCCCAGUCUCGAUCCGCAUAAAACAAUAGAUACUUUCGGAGAUACCUGUAGUGCACCUUUAUAGUCACCCAGUUAUGUUGUGACGUUUGAUACACCCAAAGCACUCCUACGGUAUCCAGGAGUUACACGCUCUCAUGGUCAAAGGAAGAGAUACUUGACAUUGGCAAAGCUCUAGCAAACGAACUACACGAUCUUUGUGCUAGGCUUAGGAUUGGGUCUUGUCCGUCACAUCAUUCUCCUAAUGAUGUGAUCCCGUUAUCAACGACAUCCAAUGUCCAUAGCCAGGAAACCAUGACUAUCUGUUGAUCACAACGAGCUAGUCAACUAGAGGCUCACUAGGGACAUAUUGUGGUCUAUGUAUUCACACGUGUAUUACGAUUUCCGGAUAAUACAGUUAUAGCAUGAAUAAAAGACAAUUAUCAUGAACAAGGAAAUAUAAUAAUAACACUUUUAUUAUUGCCUCUAGGGCAUAUUUCCAACAGUCUCCCACUUGCACUAGAGUCAAUAAUCUAGUUCACAUCGCCAUGUGAUUAACACUCACAGGUCACAUCGCCAUGUGACUAAUACCCAAGAGUUUUAGGUUUGAUCAUGUUGCUUGUGAGAGAGGUUUUAGUCAACGGGUCCGAACCUUUCAGAUCCGUGUGUGCUUUACAAAUCUCUAUGUCAUCUCCUAGAUGUAGCUACCACGCUCUAUUUGGAGCUAUUCCAAAUAACUGUUCUACUUGGAGCUAUUCUAAAUUGUUGCCCCAUAAUACGUAUCCGGUAUCUCUUCUUAGAGCUAUCCGGAUAGGUGUUAAGCUUGCAUCGACGUAACCUUUACGACGAACUCUUUUACCACCUCCAUAAUCGAGAAAAUUCCUUAAUCCACUAGUUACCAAGGAUAACUUUGACCGCUGUCUGUGAUCCAUUCAUGGAUCACUCUUGUACCCCUUGACUGACUCAUGGCAAGGCACACUUCAGGUGCGGUACUCAGCAUGGCAUACUGUAGAGCCUAUGUCUUAAGCAUAGGGGACGACCUUCAUCCUUUCUCUCUAUUCUGCCGAGGUCGAGCUUUAAGUCUUAACUUCGUACCUUACAACUCAGGCAAGAACUCCUUCUUUGACUGGUCCAUCUUGAACACCUUCAAGAUCAUGUCAAGGUAUGUGCUCAUUUGAAAGUAUUAUUAAGCAUUUUGAUCUAUCCUUAUAGAUCUUGAUGCUCAAUGUUCAAGUAGCUUAAUCCAGGCUUUCCAUUGAAAAACACUUUCAAAAUAACCCUAUAUGCUUUCCAGAAAUUCUACGUCAUUUCUGAUCAACAAUAUGUCAACAACAUAUACUCAUCAGAAAUUCUAUAGUGCUCCCACUCACUUCUUUGGAAAUACAAGUUUCUCAUAAACUUUGUACAAACCCAAAAUCUUUGAUCAUCAUCAAAGCAUACAUUCCAACUCCGAGAUGCUCACUCCAGUCCUUAGAAGGAUUGCUGGAGCUUUGCAUACUUAUUAGCAUCUUUCGGGAUUGACAAAACCUUCCGGUUGUAUCACAUACAACCUUUCCUCAAGAAAAUCGUCGAGGAAACAAUGUUUUGACAUCCUAUCUGCAAGAUUUCAUAAAUAAUGCAGUAAUCGCUAAUAUAAUUCCAACAGACUCUUAGCAUCGCUACGAGUGAGAAAAUUUCAUCGUAGUCAACUCCUUGAACUUGUCGGAAAACAUCUUAACGACAAGUCGAGCUUUCUUAAUGGUAAUUCUUACCAUCAUUGUCUGUCUUCCUUUUAAAAUCCAUCCGUACUCAUUUGCCUUACGACCAUCGAGCCGUUCUGCCAAAGUCUUCACUUUGUUUUCAUACAUGGAUCCUCUCUCGGAUUUUAUGGCCUCAAGCCAUUUAUCGGAAUCCGGGCCCACCAUCGCUUCUCCAUAGCUCGUAGGCUCAUUGUUGUCUAGAAACAUGACUUCCAAGACAGGAUUACGUACCACUCUAAAGUAGUACGCAUCCUUGUCAUCCCACGAGGUUUGGUAGUGACUUGAUCCGAAGUUUCAUGAUCAAUAUCAUAAGCUUCCACUUCAAUUAGUGUAGGUGCCACAGGAACAACUUCCUGUGCCCUGCCACACACUAGUUGAAGAGACGGUUCAAUAACCUCAUCAAGUCUCCACCAUCCUCCCACUCAAUUCUUUCAAGAGAAACUUUUCCUCGAGAAAGUACCUGAUUCUAGAAACAAUCCCUUAUUGCUUUCGGAUCUGAGACAGGAGGUAUACCCAACUGUUUUGGGUGUCCUAUGAAGAUGCAUUUUAUCCGCUUUGGGUUCGAGCUUAUCAAUCCUGAAACUUUUUCACAUAAGCGUUGCAGCCCCAAACCUUUAAGAAACGACAACUUAGGUUUCUCUAAACCAUAAUUCAUACGGUGUCAUCUCAACGGAAUUACGUGGUGCCCUAUUUAAAGUGAAUGUGGUUGUCUCUAAUGCCUAACCCAUGGACAAUAGUGGUAAUUCGGUAAGAGACAUCAUGGUAUGCAUCAUAUCCAAUAGGGUGCAGUUAUGAUGUUCGGACACACCAUCACACUAUGGUGUUCCAGGCGGUAUUAAUUGCGAAACAAUUUCCACAAUGUCUUAAUUGUGUGCCAAAACUCGUAACUCAGAUACUCACCUCUAUGAUCUUAUCAUAGACAUUUUAUCCUCUUGUCAUGAUGAUCUUCAACUUUACUCUGAAAUUACUUGAACCAUUCAAUAAUUCAGACUUGUGUUUCAUCAAGUAAAUAUAUUCAACAUCUACUCGAAUCAUCUGUGAAGUAAGAACAUAAUGAUAUUCACUGCAUGCCUCAGCACUCAUUGGACUACACACAUCAAAAUGUGUUACUUCCAACAAGUUGCUAUCUUGUUCCAUCUUACUGAAACCGAGGCUUUUCAGUCAUCUUGCCCAUGUGGUAUGAUUUGCAUAUCUCAAGUGAUUCAAAAUCAAGUGAGUUCAAACGGUCCAUUUGCAUGGAGUUUCUUCAUGCAUAUAUACCAAUAGACAUGGUUCGCAUGUCUCAAACUUUUCAAAAAUGAGUGAGUCCAAAGAUCCAUCAACAUGGAGCUUCUUCAUGCAUUUUAUACCGAUAUGACUUACGUGGCAGUGCCACACAUAGGUGGUACUAUCAUUACUAUCUUUUGGCAUGAACAUGUGUAUCACUACGAUCGAGAUUUCAAUGAACCAUUCAUUUUAGGUGCAAGAACAUUGAAGGUAUUAUUCAAAUAAAUAGAGUAACCAUUAUUCUCUUUAAAUGAAUAACCGUAUUGCGAUAGACAUAAUCCAAUCAUGUCUAUGCUCAACGCAAACACCAAAUCUCGAUGGUAGAGGGAGUGUGCGAUGCUUGAUCAUAUCAACAUUGGAAACACUUCCAACACAUAUCGUCAGCUCACCUUUAGCUAGUCUCCGUUUAUGCCGUAGCUUUUAUUUCGAGUUACUAACACUUAGCAACCGAACCGGUAUCUUAUACCCUGGUGCUACUAGGAGUACUAGUAAACUACACAUUAACAUAAUGUAUAUCCAAUAUACUUCUAUCGACCUUGCCAGCCUUCUCAUCUACCAAGUAUCUAGGGUAAUUCUGCUCUAGUGACUGUUCCCCUUAUUACAGAAGCACUUAGUCUCGGGUUUGGGUUCAACCUUGGGUUUCUUCACUGGAGCAGCAGCUGAUUUGCCGUUUCAUGAAGUAUCCCUUCUUGCCCUUGCCCUUCUUGAAACUAGUGGUUUCACCAACCAUCAACAAUUGAUGCUCCUUCUUGAUUUCUACUUUCGCGGUGUCAAACAUCGUGAAUACCUCAAGGAUCAUCUUAUUUAUCCCUGAUAUGUUAUAGUUCAUCACGAAGCUCUAGCAGCUCGGUGGCAAUGACUUUGGAGAAACAUCACUAUCUCAUUUGGAAGAUCAACUCCCACUCAAUUCAAGUGAUUGUUGCACUCAGACAAUCUGAGCACAAGCUCAACGGUUGAGAUUUUCUCCCUUAGUUUGCAGGCUAAGAGAAUCGUCGGAGGUCUUAUACCUCUUGACGUGAGCACGAGCCUGAAAUCCCAAUUUCAGCCCUUGAAACAUCUCAUAUGUUCCGCGACGUUUCGAAAACGUCUUUAGUGCCUCAACCAUUUAACUGAACUAUCACGUAGUUAUCAAAACGUGUAUGUCCGAUGUUCGUAACAUCCACAAAUGACGUUUGGGGUUCAGCACACUGAGCAGUGCAUUAAGGACAUAAGCUUUCUACUGAUCGCAUAAUUGCUACUAUCAACUUUCAACUAUAUUUUCUCUAGGAACAUAUCUAAAACAGUAGAACUAUAGCGCGAGCUACGACAUAAUUUGCAAAAGGUCUUUUGACUAUGUUCAAGAUAAUUAAGUUCAUCUUAUGAACUCCCACUCAGAUAGACAUCCCUCCGGUCAUCUAAGUGAUCACAUGAUCCGAGUCAACUAGGCCGUGUCCGAUCAUCACGUGAGACGGACUAGCCAACGUCGGUGAACAUCUUCAUGUUGAUCGUAUCUACUAUACGACUCAUGCUCGACCUUUCGGUCUCCGUGUUCCGAGGCCAUGUCUGUACAUGCUAGGCUCGUCAAGUUAACCCUAAGUGUUUUCGCUGUGUAAAACUGUCUUACACCCGUUGUAUGUGAACGUAAGAAUCCAUCACACCCGAUCAUCACGUGGUGCUUAGAAGCGACGAACUGUAGCAACGGUGCACAGUUAGGGGAGAACACUUCUUGAAAUUUUGUAAGGGAUCAUCUUAUUUACUACCGUCGUCCUAAGCAAACAAGAUGCAUAAACAUGAUAAACAUCACAUGCAAUCAAAUAGUGACAUGAUAUGGCCAAUAUCAUUUUGCUCCUUUUGAUCUUCAUCUUCGGGGCUCCAUGAUCAUCAUCGUCACCGGCACGACACCAUGAUCUCCAUCAUCGUGUCUUCAUGAAGUUGUCACGCCAACGACUACUUCUACUUCUAUGGCUAACACGUUUAGCAAUAAAGUAAAGUAAGUUACAUGGCGUUCUUCAAUGACACGCAGGUCAUACAAAAAUAAAGACAACUCCUAUGGCUCCUGCCGGUUGUCAUACUCAUCGACAUGCAAGUCGUGAAUCCUAUUACAAGAACAUGAUCAAUCUCAUACAUCACAUAUCAUUCAUCACAUUCUUCUUGGCCAUAUCACAUCACAUAGCAUACCCUGCAAAAACAAGUUAGACGUCCUCUAAUUGUUGUUGCAUGUUUUACGUGGCUGCUAUGGGUUUCUAGCAAGAACGUUUCUUACCUACGCAAGACCACAACGUGAUAUGCCAAUUGCUAUUUACCCUUCAUAAGGACCCUUUUCAUCGAAUCCGUUCCGACUAAAGUGGGAGAGACUGGCACCCGCUAGCCACCUUAUGCACCAAGUACAUGUCAAUCGGUGGAACCUGUCUCACGUAAGAGUACGUGUAAGGUCGGUCCGGGCCGCUUCAUCCCACAAUACCGUCGAAACAAGAUUGGACUAGUAACAGUAAGCAUAUUGAACAACAUCAACGCCCACAACUACUUUGUGUUCUACUCGUGCAAAGAAUCUAUGCAAUAGACCUAGCUCAUGAUGCCACUGUUGGGGAACGUAGCAGAAAUUCAAAAUUUUCCUACGUGUCACCAAGAUCUAUCUAUGGAGAAACCAGCAACGAGGAAAGGGGAGUGCAUCUACAUACCCUUGUAGAUCGCUAAGCGGAAGCGUUCAAGUGAACGGGGUUGAUGGAGUCGUACUCGUCGUGAUUCAAAUCAUCGAUGAUCCUAGUGCCGAACGGACGGCACCUCCGUGUUCAACACACGUACAGCCCGGUGACGUCUCCCACGCCUUGAUCCAGCAAGGAGAGAGGGAGAGGUUGAGGAAGACUCCAUCCAACAGCAGCACAACAGCGUGGCGGUGAUGGAGGAGCGUGGCAAUCCUGCAGGGCUUCGCCAAGCACUACUCAGGAGGAGGUGGAGUUGGAGAGGGGGAGGGCUGCGCCAGAACUUCGUGUAUAGCUCCCAUGCGCCUCCCCACUAUAUAUAGGGGUGGAGGGGCUGGUUUCUUGCCCUCCAAGUCCAUUGGGGCGUUGGCCAAGGUGGGAGGAAAGAAAUCUCAUUAUUUCCUUCCCCACCGAUUGUUAUCCCUCCUUUUUAGGGAUCUUGAUCUUAUCCCUUCGGGAUAUGAUCUUAUUCCUUCUAAGGGGGGAUCUUGGUGCGCCUUGACCAGGGGUGUGGGGCCUUGCCCCCACUACCCACGUUCAUGUGGGUCCCCCCAUGCAGGUGGGCCCCACUCCGGAACCUUCUAGAACCUUCCCGGUACAAUACCGAAAAAUCCCGAACAUUUUCCGGUGGCCAAAAUAGGACUUCCCAUAUAUAAAUCUUUACCUCCGGACCAUUCCGGAACUCCUCGUGACGUCCGGGGUCUCAUCCGGGACUCCGAACAACAUUCGGUAACCACAUACAAACUUCCUUUAUAACCCUAGCGUCAUCGAACCUUAAGUGUGUAGACCCUACGGGUUCGGGAGACAUGCAGACAUGACCGAGACGUUCUCCGGUCAAUAACCAACAGCGGGAUCUGGAUACCCAUGAUGGCUCCCACAUGUUCCACGAUGAUCUCAUCGGAUGAACCACGAUGUCAAGGACUUAAUCAAUCCCGUAUUCAAUUCCCUUUGUCUAUCGGUAUGUUACUUGCCCGAGAUUCGAUCGUCGGUAUCCAAUACCUUGUUCAAUCUCGUUACCGGCAAGUCACUUUACUCGUUCCGUAACACAUCAUCCCGUGAUCAACUCCUUGGUCACAUUGCGCAUAUGAUGAUGUCCUACCGAGUGGGCCCAGAGAUACCUCUCCGUUUACACGGAGUGACAAAUCCCAGUCUCGAUCCGUAUAAAACAAUAGAUACUUUCGGAGAUACCUGUAGUGCACCUUUAUAGUCACCCAGUUACGUUGUGACGUUUGAUACACCCAAAGCACUCCUACGGUAUCCAGGAGUUACACGCUCUCAUGGUCAAAGGAAGAGAUACUUGACAUUGGCAAAGCUCUAGCAAACGAACUACACGAUCUUUGUGCUAGGCUUAGGAUUGGGUCUUGUCCAUCACAUCAUUCUCCUAAUGAUGUGAUCCCGUUAUCAACGACAUCCAAUGUCCAUAGCCAGGAAACCAUGACUAUCUGUUGAUCACAACGAGCUAGUCAACUAGAGGCUCACUAGGGACAUAUUGUGGUCUAUGUAUUCACACGUGUAUUACGAUUUCCGGAUAAUACAGUUAUAGCAUGAAUAAAAAACAAUUAUCAUGAACAAGGAAAUAUAAUAAUAACACUUUUAUUAUUGCCUCUAGGGCAUAUUUCCAACAUUUUAACCCUUGUUUUUCUAAACGAAAGGCACAAAAAUCACCUGUCUAUAAACUAAUAAAGCCCCAAACAAGGUGUCGAGUCUUAAAAGGUUUCAGACAUUUGAACUCUUGUGGAUUGGUGGGCAAUUCAACAUUGCCCAUCUUUACUAGGCUUCAUGAAGGUAUCAAUACCUUUGUUGUAUGGAUGAUCAAGUCAGACCAUUUUAAUGUGGAAUUCAAGUGAUUGAACCAAAAAGGACUUAUGGUAAGAGGAUUAUACAUAUUUAGAUUUCUUUUGCAUGUCACAUUUGGGCAAGUAUGGCGGUGGACGAUUUCCUGCUCAAAGUGAGAGCAAAAGUGGUGAAUUUCGUGAAGCGCACUGUCCCUUUUUCUUGUAUUUUUUGGAUCCGCUGCUGAUUAUUAGGUGCUAAACUCAUUUGUCAUUUCACAACUACCUCCAUUUCUAGCUAAAAAGUACUUCCAUUUUUUUAAGAUUUAAAUAAUCACGAGGCUUAUUAGUGAGGAAGUGAUAAAACAAAAUGAAGCUAAUUAAUAAUCUCAACAAGCUACUUCUCAAGAAGCGCUAAUUGGCUGUUAGAUGGUCAGACUUCAGCUCUAAGGGGUGACAUAUGGGUUUAAUUGCCCAAUAGACUUUGGAAUAUUUGGUUGUUUCUUUUGUUUAACGAUGAAAUGGACAUGCAUAAGUUUAAUGGAAUAUAUGGUCCUACAUAUCAGUCGAAUAAUCGACACUUUGGAACCUGAUACCGUCGCAUCGCAUGCUAGUACACAAGGUUGGAUUUGUGUUAAGAGGAUAGGCUUUGUGUACGUAGAAGUUAAACGCGUAGACUCAGCAGCCAGCACACUCUUUUUUCAAGCUCAUGUAAAGUAAUUCAUUUAACUGUCGCAAAAAAUUUAAUUCAUCUAAAAAAUGACACUAAAAUUAAUCGAUAGAUAAAAUUCCGCAUGUCGAUGUCCGCUUAAAGAAAAAUACUAGGAAGUCAACAAAAAUCUAGAAAAAAGGAAUAAAAGGUCACAAAAUACCAAAAACAUUGGACAAUUCGAAAAAAUGAAUCAAGUCUUUUUUUCUGCCAAAUAUUGAUACUGGUGAAACUCAGAAGAGAAAAUGGCUCAAGGUUCCUUGAUUAUUCUAUUAGCAAGCUUCCUUGAUUUCUAUGAAGCCCAAAAUGAUACUUGAAGUUUCUUGACUUUAUUAUUGUGGCGGCUGACCUUGAUACCUUCUAGUUCUUGUUUAGCACACAAAGUUGCAUGAGGAUAUAGCCGUACUCUGCAAGUGAAACACUGGUCCGUCUUUGAUUCUAGCUCUAGCUUGACUCCAUCAGCUUUGACACGCGUGACAAUUCGUCACAUGUUGCCCUUGCCGUGCUCUGCCAAGUGAGCCUUCCAUAAGUCAAAUUAGCCGUCCAGGCACGGCAGGGUAUGCAUAAAGCCAUUGAUAUUGAUGUUGCUUUGUAGCAUAAGCACGAUUAGUUCUUGACCAAAAGGUCAGUGCGGUUAUCUUAUGUUAAAAACCCAUGAUGGAGUAUAAAGUCCUAGUGUGGUGUCGGAUUGGAACACUGGUGGAUUGGCUAGCAAUUCAGCAUUGCUUAGUUUUCCUAAGCUUGUAAAAGUUAUCAAGGUUUUAUUUCUACCAAAGAUCAAUUUGGACCAUUUUAUGAAGAUUUCAUUCAAUGAUCCUAGCAAAAAAGUGUGGAUGAAAAUGCAUCUUGGCUAGACGGUACAUACAUAACUGGUCGCUUUUGGCCCAAGUGACGAAUUUCGUGCCGUGCUCAAUCCCUUAGCUUUCAUUUUGGGCCCGCUGCUGAUCAGCAUCAUAAUUGGUACAUUUUGUGAGAUGAAACUGAUGGAUUAGCUCCUCUAACCGCAGCAAUUAGUUGGCUUUAGUUUUCGUGUAUCUUUUAAAAUAAUUUAUCAUAAACAUUAGCAUGCAUCACAUAGUGUGUCCCUUCGUCUCUCCUCCCAAGAAAAUGCGGCUAGGGAUUCUGCUUCCCGUCGGAGGCGCCGUCAAUCUGCCAUGUCUUCCGUGGCCUUAGGGCCAUGGGUGCUUGGUGGACCCUGCCCUUGCCCGCGGGAAGGCUUCGUUUUUAUGUGCUUCUUCAAGUUUUGUUAUGGUUUGUGCCCUGUUCAGAAAGACGAGAUGGUGACGGUCUUUUGAAGAUGAAAUAAAGUUCUCCCCAGCUAGCCCCCAUUUUGGUGAUGCAUUCAGCAUCGUCGGAGGGCGCGUGGGGGUGUGUCUCCGGCGGAGCUCGCGGGAUUCGGUUGGUGGUUGUCUUUGGUGGAUCUGCUCGGAUCCGGUCUUUAUUCGUCUCUGUUCAUGUGUCUUCAGGUCGGGUCCUUCCGAUCUAAAUUUCGCUUCAUCGGCGGCAGUUGAUGUUCUGGUGUGUUGGUCCUAUAAGGCCUUAGCACGACUUUCCGACUGUCUACUAUAACUAAUUGUGCCUGGCUCCGGCGAGGGAGAGGAGAUGACGGCAACGAGUCUUAGCUCGCUUCAAUGCUUGUAGUCCUUGCCAGGUGGUCUAUGAAUCUGGAUGUAAUUUUUAUUAUUUCUGAUGUUCGUUAUACUAUCAUGAUUAAAGAUGAAUAAAACGAAAGUUUCCUGAUUUUUUUUAUCAUGAGAGCUUGUGCGGUGUCUUUUCAUGUUGCAUUAGCUACUUUUUCCGCUUUCCCAAAAGAUAAAUGAGUGAAUUAACAAUGUCAACCAAGCUACUUCUCUAAUUAGCAGUUAGCUGGUCAGAGUUCAGUACCACAGGGUGACGCACGAGUUUAACUACUUGACCCAUUAGCUACUUUGGCGCAUUUGGUUGUUUAGUUUUGUUUAACGAAUAUAACAUGUGUAAGCACGAUGGAACAUAUGGUCCUAUCAUAUCAGCUGGCACUUCGGAACCUGAUACCAUCGCGUACUAGUCAGGUUGGAUACUGUGUAAACUGGAUAGGCUAACGUGUAGACUCAGCAGCCAGCAUGUCCUCCUUUUUAAAGUUUAGGUAAAUCAAUUCAUUUGAGUCUGCUGACCGCAAAGAAAAGUACUAGGAAAUCAACGAAAACUCAUAAAAAAGGUUACAAAAUACAAAAAUGAUCCCAGGAUGACCGUUGAAGCUUCUUGAUUUUUUUUGCGUGGAAAAGCUUCUUGAUUUUAUUGUCGGCCGUCCCCUGCAAGUAAAACACUGGCCUGUCUUUGAUUCUAGUUCUAGAUUGACUCCAUCAGCUUUGGCAUGCGUGACAAUUUGGCUCAUCUAUUCUUGCCGUGUUUUUUUUGAAAUAAACGAAAUUUUAUUCAUUAGCAAUAACCAAUACAUCGUUUAUGAGAAGUGUUACAAUUUCACUAAUAGGUUCCUCAAACCAAACCGAAGUCGAAAAAAAUCUAGCUAAUCUAGCAAGUUCAUGUGCUACUUUAUUUGCCUCUUUAUUACAAUGUUCGAAUUUAGUCAUGAUAAAAUCACAAGCAUAGUGAUAGCAGCCAUCGAAAAUUGCCGCCGCCGCUCCCGCUGACUGUCCUCCGUCUUGCAUUGUCUCAACCACCUCCCGAUUGUCAGAGUUGAUGAUUAGGCGAUUACAUCCCGCCCUUUGCGCUAAAUUUAGGCCAAAUUUGAGAGCUAAGGCCUCCGCCAUGAGAACGUCCGCACAGUAGUCUAUCUUUCCAUUCCCUCCUGCAAUAAACCUACCUUUGUCGUCUCUCAAUACUGCCCCCAUCGUACCCUCCAGCAAGUCAUGGUCAAAAGAGGCGUCAACAUUGAGUUUCACAAAGCCCCUAGGAGGACAUUGCCAACCCCCCUUUUUAUGGACGCAUUUGAAGAUGAAGCAUUUACAAAAUUAUAUGUAAGAGCUAUGAUCCCCAUUGAGAUCCGGGUCGCAUUUUGAGUGAAUUCCUUAUGCACUAAUUUCCUUCUUUCCCACCAUAGAUACCAAGCAGAGAUAGCUACCAUUUCUCGAACAUUUUCGUACCCCAUAAUGCGCAGAUCUUGAUCUGGAAGGAGUAAUAAGUAUUCCAGUAUUGCCUCCCCAGCACGAUCAAUCUCACAAGCUCUCUCAAUAAUCAUAUCCAACCCUAGCCUUUUCCAAACCUCUUUGGCUUUUCUACAUAGGAAAAGCAAGUGCUUUGUAUCUUCUACACCCUGGGAGCAUGUAUGACACAAGGGUGAGAUCUUCAUGUGUCUAUUAGUGAGUGUUGCCCGACAUGGAAGAGUACCAUGUAGUGUCCGCCGUAAAAAUAUUUUGACUUUAGUCGGACAAGAUAACUUCCAUAUCUGACACCAUAUAGGGUUACGUGUGCUCCGUCCCAUCCCGUUGGAAUAUUUUAAUUUGCUCCCAUACUGAUAGUUCCACUCCACAGAGUAAGCAGACCGUACCGAAAACAGACCAUUUUUCGUAUAACUCCAGGUAAUAAAAUCUGUCAUAUUAUGUUGUGAAAUUGGGAUUGAAAGAAUCCGUUGUGCGUCAAUGGUCCACAUAGUUUGUCUAAUCAUGUCCUCAUCCCAAUCAUUGGAGACCGGGUCAAUCAAUUCUACAACUUUUGAGAAUAAAUGCCCCCUCCUAGGAGUCACAAUCUUCCUAGUGGCACAAUUUGGGAUCCAGGCAUCUUUCCAAAUAUUAAUAUUAUGUCCAUCCCCCACUCGCCAAAUAUAACCUCGCUUGAGAGUAGUGAUGCCUGCCAUAAUGCUUUGCCAGGUGAAGGAAGCACCAUGCUUUGGCUUGGAGUUCAGCAAAUCACCAUUAGGAUAGUACUUUGCCCUUAGAAUAGUAGCACAUAAGGAGUCAGGAUUAUCAAGGAGACGCCAUGCCUGUUUUGCAAGCAGAGCCAGGUUGAAACAGUGGAUAUCACGGAAUCCCAUUCCUCCUUGGUUUUUUGAUACACACAUUUUCCACCAGGCCAUCCAGUGCAUUCUCUUCUGGUUCUCCUCGUCUCCCCACCAGAAAUGCGCCAUCGCGUCAAUGAUUCCUUUACAAUUUUUUUAGGAAUUUUAAAGACCGACAAUGCAUAGGUAGGUAUGGCUUGGAUCACCGCCUUUAAUAGGAUCUCCUUCCCUCCGGCAGAUAGUAAUUUUUCCUUCCAACCACUAAUUCUCUUAACAAUACGUUCAAUCAGAAAACUAAAGCAGUCUAUUUUAUCAACACCCACAUUUGCUGGUAAGCCCAAAUAUUUAUCAGUGAGGGCCUCCGUCAUUAUAUUUAGCGUUGUACACAAUUGUUCUCUGAUCUCUACCCUUGUAUUAGGGCUGAAGAAAAUACUGGAUUUUUCAACGCUUACCAGUUGUCCUGACACCACACAAUAUAAAUCUAGUACUGUUUUCAGGUUUUCCGCAUUACGUUGGUUGGCUUUCAUUAAGAUCAAUGAGUCAUCCGCAAAGAGAAGAUUUGUGAUCGGUGGGGUGUCUCUACAGACUUUUACUCCUGAUAUGUUUCCAUUCUCCUCAGCAUGCACAAGCAAGGCAUUCAAUCCUUCUGUGCACAACAAAAAAAGGUAUGGUGAUAGCGGGUUCCCCUGUCUCAACCCUCUCGUAGGCUUAAAUCUCUCACUUUCCUCUUCAUUGAUCCUUACUUUGUAUUCUACGGUUGAGACGCAUUGCAUAAUCAAGUUAACCCACUCACUACGAAAGCCUAGUUUCAACAUAAUCUCCUUCAAAAAGUCCACUCAACUCUAUCGUAGGCUUUAUGCAUAUCAAGUUUUAUAGCACACAAGCCCUCUCUAUCCUCUCUUUUAUUCUUUAUUGUGUGAAAACAUUCAUAGGCCACUAAAAUAUUAUCCGUUAUCAAUCUACCCGGUACAAAUGCACUCUGUGUUGGGCUAAUAAUUUCUGGUAAAAAAAACCUUCAAUCGAGAAGCCACCAUUUUUGGAAUUAUUUUAUAUAGCACAUUACAUAAGCUGAUCGGCCUAAAUUGAGUUACCUUCUCUGGUGUAUUAAUUUUAGGAAUCAUCACGAUCUCCGUAUCAUUCCAACCCUCCGGUAUAGUGCAUGUGUUGAUUGCUAUCAGGACCUCCUCAAUUAAGUCUUCCCCCAGCAUGGGCCAAAACCUUUUAUAGAAGAUAGCAUGGAGUCCAUCUGGCCCUGGAGCUUUCAAGUGCCCAAUAUCAAAUAAAGCCUUGCGAACAUCUUCCGCGGUAUAAGGGGCAAGUAGAACAUCAUUCAUUUCGUUUGACACUCUCCUUUGAACAAGUGAUAAAACAUCUUGAUUCGGGUGUUGAACUUCCGAUGUAAAAAGCUUUGUAAAAUAUCCAGUAAUGUGAUUCGUCAAUUCCUUAUUUGUUAACCAGUUUCCAGACUCGUCUAAUAGUUUCUUUAUAUUAUUUCUUUUUUUCCUGGCUGUGGCAGCAUUAUGAAAGAACGACGUAUUAUGAUCCCCAUGCAUCAACCAAUUUGCUCGUCCUCUCUGUAACCAAAAUAUUUCCUCUUGCUCCAAAAUAUUUUCAAUUACCAUUAUAAUUUCCUUCUGCCGGCAUCGAGAUUCCGUAUUCAAUGGGCCACGCCUUAGUUUCUCCAACUCUUUUUUUAAUUUUCUAAUUCUCACCUUUGGUCCCUUUAGCAUUUCCCGGUCCCAAGUAUGUAGAUCGGCAUGCACUGCUCUCGUACGGUCAGCAAGUGAGGGUCCAAUACCUGCUAGAUUUGCUUUCUCCCAAGAUGCCUUAACGAUUUCAGUGACCGUCUCUUCCUUCAACCAUCUCGCCUCAAAUUGUUUAACACGCCCUUCUUGGCUUUUAAAGAUUUUUUCAUCCCAAUACUCCAUAUCCAGUACGAUUGGGCGAUGGUCGGAAUGAACAUGUUCUUCAUUGAUAACUGCCGCUCGUGGAAAUUUGUUUGCCCAUGCUAAGUUACAGACUGCACGAUCAAGGCGCUCACGUAUUUCGCCUCUCCUCCAAGUGAACAUGUCCCCAAAAUAGCCUAGAUCAUCCAGCCCACAAUCCGUUAGGCAUUCACGGAACUCUCUCAUCAUACCAAGUGGUCUAGCUACACCACCCUCUUUUUCCGAGGGGUAUAAAAUUUCAUUAAAAUCCCCCAAAACCACCCAAGGAUGGUUGCUCUUACUAUGUAGAUUACGAAUGUCAUCCCAAGAUAGAUGGCGUUCAUUCCAUUUCGGGUGACCAUAAAAGCCCGUGAACCGCCACUGAACCACAUUCUCAUACAUAAAAACAAUAUCAAUAAAAUGGGGCGAAACAUAGUUCAACUCAAUUUUAUUGGACUCAUGAUAAAACAAAGCGAGGCCACCGGCCUUACCAUCACUUUCCACUACAAACAUAGAAUCAAAACCUAAUACGCGACGAAGCUCAUCGGCUUUACAAUUAUUCAAAUGGGAUUCAGAAAGGAAAAUUAAAUCUGCCCUUGUACGCUUCUGUAGAUCCAGAAGCUCACGAACUGCCGUGUUGAAGAGCAUACCACGGCAGUUCCAGCCUAGGAUUUUCAUUUGGCCCGGCGGUCCUCCUCCUCGGAGGCCGCCGAUGUGCCAAUCUCAUCUUUGUCUUCGCCAACUGAUUCCCCACCUCGCGACGCGUACUCUUCCUCCUUCUCAUCAGUCUCCUUUGCAACAUGUGUAACCCCGCCCUCCUCAUCCUCGACAGCUACAACUCUACCCGUGCACACCCGUUGGGAUGAGACGUUUACAUCACCAUAUAAGAUGCGCUCAUAACUAUCCAUCUCUUUCUCAAAAGAAAACUCUAAGUCACUGCCCGUUGGACAAGCCCCAAAAGAAUGCCCCCUUUUUUCCCCUAGCACUUGCUUGCGAGCAUCCUCAGCUCUAUUUGGGCCCCCUUUCUUUUUUUCUUUCUUUUUUUAAUUGCCUCGCAUAGGAUUUUUUGCUGCAUUGAAUUUAAAGGGUAGAGCAUUAUUCUCUGUAUCACCCCCGGCUGUAGCGAUUCUCGCUGCAACAGCGCUAGACAGCGCCUCCAACACCCCCGGCUGAAAAAGAAGUUCGCCAGCAUCAACUCCAUGCGGUUGAGUUAUUCUGGGCUUCACUUGUGCAUGAGCACUCAUGGCCAAGUUACCUGCAUGUGUGCUUUGGGCAUGUUCAGGAUCAUAACAAAGUUGACUUUGGUCAACCUCCGCAUUCUGGCGCGACUCCAGCAUGGUCACGUGGCCCUGGACCUCCUGGCCCCGUCCACCAGGAUCAGCUAGCGCGCCCGCCUGGUCCUCCUGACCAAGCGGCGCACCCGCCGGGGUAGGCGCUCCAGUCUCCUGAGUCCGGCCCUCCUGGCCGGUGUUUGUCUUGACGGAAGUAGUGGCCCCCUUAUCAGAGACCGUGAGCCCGCUCACGGCAGUGGCCACCUUGACGACGUCUGUGGCCUUGGCGAUGUUGUUGUUGACGAUGCCUGUAGUCGAGUUGUUGCCGCCGCGAAUGUAGUUCCCGAAGAGGAGACCCCUCCUACUAGCACCUUGGCUCUUCCAGUAGGGCUCAACACUAAGGUUUCUUGGAAAACAAACUACUCUCUCCUCUCUUGGAAUUUUACAAAACCUCUCUGAAGUAUGACCAACUAUCCCACAACACUCACAAUACAAAGGUAGUUUCUCAUACUUUACAUCAUAUUUAAAGAUCUUUGAACUACCUAAAGGGGUAAUCUCUACAGAGCAUUUCAGAGGCUCAUGCAGUAAUAUCUUCACCCGCACACGUAGAUAUUUCUCAACAAUUACAUGGUUACUGUGCGAAACCUCUAGUAUCUCUCCCAGUUGAUCCUCGAGAGACGUCCCUACGCUCUCUGUCUUAAACUCGAACGGGAGAUCACGUACCUGGACCCAUAUGGUCAUGACGCCAAGGUCGACCUCCGUCGGGUCGCCCUUGCAGUCGAAUUCGGCGAAGAUGAGGCCGUCCUGCUUGAAGUGCCAUGGCUGCGCCUUAAGCACAAACUGACGGUCACUCUCAGUGGCGAAAUUGAGGAUGAACCUCCCGUCAUCGCUGGCCACCUCCUGUAUGUUGGGGAACGUUGCAGAAAACAAAAAUUUUCCUACUCGUUUCACCAAGAUCAUCUAGGAGUUCAUCUAGCAAUGAGUGAAUAGAUGCAUCUACAUACCUUGUAGAUCGCGAGCGGAAGUGUUCAAAGAACGGGGAUGAUGUAGUCGAACACGACGUGAUUCGAAUCACCGGAGAUCCUAGCACCGAACGGACGGCACCUCCGUGUUCAACACACGUACGGAACAGCCACGUCUCCUCCUUCUUGAUCCAGCAAGGGAGGGAGGAGAGGUUGAGGGAGAUGGCACCAGCAGCAGCACGACGGCGUGGUGUUGAUGGAGCUGCAGUACUCCGGCAGAGCUUCGCUAAGCAAUAAGGAGGUGGAGGAGGUGUUGGGGAGGGAGAAGGAGGCAACCAAAGGCCAAGGACUCAAGGUGUGAAGUCCCUCCUCUCCCCCACUAUAUAUAGGGGUGCCAAGGGGGGGUGGCCGGCCCUAGGAGAUCCAAUCUCCUAGGGGGUGCGGCGGCCAAGGGGGGUUUCCCUCCCCCCCAAGGCACCUAGGAGGUGCCUUCCACUAGUAGGACUCCUCCCCCUUGGAAACCCUAGGCGCAUGGGCCUAGUGGGGCUGGUGCCCUUGGCCCAAGCAGGCCAAGGCGCACCCCCUACAGCCCAUGUGGCCCCCGGGGAUGGGUGGCCCCACCCGGUGGGCCCCUGGGACCCCUCCGGUGGUCCCGGUACAAUACCGAUAACCCCGAAACUUGUCCCGAUGCCCGAAACAGGACUUCCCAUAUAUAAAUCUUUACCUCCGGACCAUUCCGGAACUCCUCGUGACGUCCGGGAUCUCAUCCGGGACUCCGAACAACAUUCGGGUUACUGCAUAUACAUAUCCCUACAACCCUAGCGUAACUGAACCUUAAGUGUGUAGACCCUACGGGUUCGGGAGACAUGUAGACAUGACCGAGAUCGCUCUCCGGUCAAUAACCAACAGCGGGAUCUGGAUACCCAUGUUGGCUCCCACAUGCUCCACGAUGAUCUCAUCGGAUGAACCACGAUGUCGAGGAUUUAAUCAACCCCCUAUGCAAUUCCCUUUGUCAAUCGAUAUGUUACUUGCCCGAGAUUCGAUCGUCGGUAUCCCAAUACCUCGUUCAAUCUUGUUACCGGCAAGUCACUUUACUCGUACCGUAAUGCAUGAUCCCGUGACCAAACACUUGGUCACUUUGAGCUCAUUAUGAUGAUGCAUUACUGAGUGGGCCCAGUGAUAUCUCUCCGUCAUACGGAGUGACAAAUCCCAGUCUCGAUCCAUAUAAAACAAUAGAUACUUUCGGAGAUACCUGUAGUGCACCUUUAUAGUCACCCAGUUACGUUGUGACGUUUGAUACACCCAAAGCACUCCUACGGCAUCCAGGAGUUAUACAAUCUCAUGGUCGAAGGAAGAGAUACUUUGACAUUGCAAAACUCUAGCAAACGAACUAUACGAUCUUGUGCUAUGUUUAGGAUUGGGUCUUGUCCAUCACAUCAUUAUCCUAAUGAUGUGAUCCCGUUAUCAAUGACAUCCAAUGUCCAUAGCCAGGAAACCAUGACUAUCUAUUGAUCAACGAGCUAGUCAACUAGAGGCUUACUAGGGACAUGUUGGUGUCUGUUAUUCACACAUGUAUUACGAUUUCCGGAUAACACAAUUAUAGCAUGAAUAAAGACAAUUAUCAUGAACAAAGAAAUAUAAUAAUAAUGCUUUUAUUAUUGCCUCUAGGGCAUAUUUCCAACAGUCUCCCACUUGCACUAGAGUCAAUAAUCUAGUUACAUUGUGAUGAAUCGAACACCCAUGGAAUUCUGGUGUUGAUCAUGUUUUGCUCUUGGGAGAGGUUUAGUCAACGGAUCUGCUACAUUCAGGUCCGUAUGUACUUUACAAAUCUCUAUGUCUCCAUCUUGAACAUUUUCACGGAUGGAGUUGAAGCGACGCUUGAUGUGCCUUGUCUUCUUGUAAAACCUGGGCUCCUUGGCAAGUGCAAUAGCUCCAGUGUUGUCACAGAAGAGCUUGAUUGGCCCCGACGCAUUGGGUAUGACUCCUAGGUCGGUGAUGAACUCCUUCACCCAUAUUGCUUCAUGUGCUGCCUCCGAGGCUGCCAUGUACUCCGCUUCACAUGUAGAUCCCGCCACGACGCUCUGCUUGCAACUGCACCAGCUUACUGCCCCACCAUUCAAAAUAUACACGUAUCCGGUUUGUGACUUAGAGUCAUCCAGAUCUGUGUCGAAGCUAGCGUCGACGUAACCUUUUACGACGAGCUCUUCGUCACCUCCAUAAACGAGAAACAUUUCCUUAGUCCUUUUCAGGUACUUCAGGAUAUUCUUGACCGUUGUCCAGUGUUCCUUGCCGGGAUUACUUUGGUACCUUCCUACCAAACUUACGGCAAGGUUUACAUCAGGUCUAGUACACAGCAUGGCAUACAUAAUAGAACCUAUGGCUGAGGCAUAGGGGAUGACACUCAUCUCUUCUAUCUCUGCUGCCGUGGUCGGACAUUGAGCUGAGCUCAAUUUCACACCUUGCAAAACAGGCAAGAACCCUUUCUUGGACUGAUCCAUUUUGAACUUCUUCAAAAUCUUAUCAAGAUAUGUGCUUUGUGAAAGACCUAUGAGGCGUCUUGAUCUAUCCCUAUAGAUCUUGAUGCCUAAUAUAUAAGCAGCUUCUCGAAGGUCCUUCAUUGAAAAACUCUUAUUCAAGUAGGCCUUAAUGCUGUCCAAAAGUUCUAUAUCAUUUCCCAUCAAAAGUAUGUCAUCUACAUAUAGUAUGAGAAAUGCUAUAGAGCUCCCACUCACUUUCUUGUAAACACAGGCUUCUCCAUAAGUCUGUGUAAACCCAAACGCUUUGAUCAUCUCAUCAAAACGAAUGUUCCAACUCCGAGAUGCUUGCACCAGCCCAUAAAUCGAGCGUUGGAGCUUGCACACCUUGUCAGCAUUUUUAGGAUCGACAAAACCUUCCGGCUGUAUCAUAUACAAUUCUUCCUUAAGGAAACCAUUAAGGAAUGCCGUUUUGACGUCCAUUUGCCAAAUUUCAUAAUCAUAAAAUGCGGCAAUUGCUAACAUGAUUCGGACGGACUUCAGCUUCGCUACCGGUGAGAAAGUCUCAUCGUAGUCAACCCCUUGAACUUGUCGAUAACCCUUAGCGACAAGCCGAGCUUUAUAGAUGGUCACAUUACCAUCCGCGUCUGUCUUCUUCUUAAAGAUCCAUUUAUUUUCUAUGGCUCGCCGUUCUACGGGCAAGUCAGUCAAAGUCCAUACUUCGUUUUCAUACAUGGAUCCUAUCUCGGAUUUCAUGGCUUCUAGCCAUUUGUCGGAAUCCGGACCCGCCAUCGCUUCUUCAUAGUUCGAAGGUUCACCGUUGUCUAACAACAUGAUUUCCAAGAUAGGGUUGCCGUACCAUUCUGGUGCGGAACGUGUCCUCGUGGACCUUCGAAUUUCAGUAGGAGCUUGAUCAGAAGUAUCUUGAUCAUUAUCAUUAACUUCCUCUCUAGUCGGUGCAGGCACCUCAGGAACAUUUUCUUGAGUUGCGCCAUUUUCCGGUUCAAGAGGUAAUACUUCAUCAAGCUCUACUUUCCUCCCACUUACUUCUUUCGAGAGAAACUCUUUCUCCAGAAAGGACCCAUUCUUGGCAACAAAGAUCUUGCCUUCGGAUCUGAGGUAGAAGGUGUACCCAACAGUUUCUUUAGGGUAUCCUAUGAAGACGCAUUUUUCCGAUUUGGGUUCGAGCUUUUCAGGUUGAAGUUUCCUGACAUAAGCAUCGCAUCCCCAAACUUUUAGAAAUGACAGCUUAGGUUUCUUCCCAAACCAUAAUUCAUACGGUGUCGUCUCAACGGAUUUCGACGGGGCCCUAUUUAAAGUGAAUGCGGCAGUCUCUAAAGCAUAGCCCCAAAAAGAUAGUGGUAAAUCGGCAAGAGACAUCAUAGAUCGCACCAUAUCUAAUAGAGUGCGAUUACGACGUUCGGACACACCAUUACGCUGAGGUGUUCCAGGCGGCGUGAGUUGUGAAACUAUUCCACAUUUUCUUAAGUGUGUACCAAACUCGUGACUCAAGUAUUCUCCUCCACGAUCUGAUCGUAGAAACUUGAUUUUCCUGUCACGUUGAUUCUCAACUUCACUCUGAAAUUCCUUGAAUUUUUCAAAGGUCUCAGACUUGUGUUUCAUUAAGUAGACAUACCCAUAUCUACUCAAGUCAUCAGUGAGGGUGAGAACAUAACGAUAGCCACCGCGAGCCUCAACACUCAUUGGACCGCACACAUCAGUAUGUAUGAUUCCCAAUAAGUUGGUUGCUCUCUUCAUUGUUCCUGAGAAUGGAGUCUUGGUCAUUUUACCCAUGAGGCAUGGUUCGCACGUGUCAAAUGAUUCGUAAUCAAGAGACUCUAAAAGUCCAUCAGCAUGGAGCUUCUUCAUGCGUUUGACACCUAUGUGACCGAGGCGGCAGUGCCACAAGUAUGUGGGACUAUCACUAUCAAUCUUACAUCUUUUGGUACUUACACUAUGAAUAUGUGUAGCAUUACGCUCGAGAUUCAUAAAGAAUAAACCAUUCACCAUCGGAGCAUGACCAUAAAACAUAUCUCUCAUAUAAAUAGAACAACCAUUAUUCUCGGAUUUAAAUGAGUAGCCAUCUCGAAUUAAACGAGAUCCUGAUACAAUGUUCAUGCUCAAACUUGGCACAAAAUAACAAUUAUUGAGGUUCAAAACUAAUCCCGUAGGUAAAUGUAGAGGUAGCGUGCCGACGACGAUCACAUCGACCUUGGAACCAUUCCCGACGCGCAUCGUCACCUCGUCCUUCGCCAGUCUCCGUUUAUUCCGCAGCUCCUGUAGUGUGUUACAAAUAUGAGCAACGGCACCGGUAUCAAAUACCCAGGAGUUACUACGAUUACUGGUAAGGUACACAUCAAUUACAUGUAUAUCAAAUAUACCUUUGGUUUUGCCGGCCUUCUUGUCCGCUAAGUACUUAGGGCAGUUCCGCUUCCAGUGACCACUUUCCUUGCAAUAAAAACACUCAGUCUCGGGCUUGGGUCCAUUCUUUGGCUUCUUCCCGGCAGCUUGCUUGCUGGGCGCGGAAACUACCUUGCCGUCCUUCUUGAAGUUCUUUUUACCCUUGCCCUUCUUGAACUUAGUGGUUUUAUUGAUCAUCAACACUUGAUGUUCCUUCCUGACUUCUACCUCUGCUGAUUUCAGCAUAGCAAAUACUUCAGGAAUGGUCUUUUCCAUCCCCUGCAUAUUGAAGUUCAUCACAAAGCUCUUGUAGCUUGGUGGAAGCGACUGGAGGAUUCUGUCAAUGACCGCAUCAUCCGGGAGAUUAACUCCCAGCUGAGUCAAGCGGUUAUGCAACCCAGACAUAGUGAGUAUGUGCUCACUGACAGAACUGUUUUCCUCCAUCUUACAGCUGAAGAAUUUGUCGGAGACUUCAUAUCUCUCGACCCGGGCAUGAGCUUGGAAAACCAUUUUCAGCUCUUCGAACAUCUCAUAUGCUCCAUGUCUCUCAAAACGCUUUUGGAGCCCCGGCUCUAGGCUGUAAAGCAUGCCGCGCUGAACGAGGGAGUAGUCAUCGAAACGUGCCUGCCAAGCGUUCAUAACGUCUUGUUCCGCAGGGAGAACGGGUGCGUCACCAAGCGGUGCUUGUAGGACAUAAUCUUUCUUGGCAGCUAUGAGGAUGAUCCUCAGGUUCCGGACCCAGUCCGUAUAGUUGCUGCCAUCGUCUUUCAGCUUGGUUUUCUCUAGGAACGCGUUGAAGUUGAGGACUACGUUGGCCAUUUGAUCUACAAGACAUAUUGUAAAAAUUUAGACUAAGUUCAUGAUAAUUAAGUUCAUCUAAUCAAAUUAUAAUGAACUCCCACUCAGAUUUGACAUCCCUUUGGUCAUCUAAGUGUUACACGAUCCGAGUCGACUAGGCCGUGUCCGAUCAUCACGUGAGACGGACUAGUCAUCGUCGGUGAACAUUCUCAUGUAGAUCGUAUCUUCCAUACGACUCGUGUUCGACCUUUCGGUCUCCGUGUUCCGAGGCCAUGUCUGUACAUGCUAGGCUCCUCAAGUUAACCCUAAGUGUUUUCGCUGUGUAAAACUGUCUUACACCCGUUGUAUGUGAACGUAAGAAUCUAUCACACCCGAUCAUCACGUGGUGCUUCGAAACGACGAACUGUAGCAACGGUGCACAGUUAGGGGAGAACACUUCUUGAAAUUUUGUAAGGGAUCAUCUUAUUUACUACCGUCGUUCUAAGUAAACAAGAUGCAUAAAACAUAAUAAACAUCACAUGCAAUUAUAUAAAGUAGUGACAUGAUAUGGCCAAUAUCAUAUAGCUCCUUUGAUCUUCAUCUUCGGGGCUCCAUGAUCAUCUUGUCACCGGCAUGACACCAUGAUCUCCAUCAUCAUGAUCUCCAUCAUCGUGUCUUCAUGAAGUUGUCACGCCAACGACUACUUCUACUUCUAUGACUAACGCGUUUAGUAAUAAAGUAAAGUAGUUUACAUGGCGUUCUUUAAUGACACGCAGGUCAUACAAAAAAUAAAGACAACUCCUAUGGCUCCUGCCGGUUGUCAUACUCAUCGACAUGCAAGUCGUGAUUCCUAUUACAAUAGCAUGAACAUCUCAUACAUGACAUGUAGAUCAUUCAUCAUUCAUCACAACUUUGGCCAUAUCAUAUCACAAAGCACUUGCUGCAAAAACAAGUUAGACGUCCUCUAAUUGUUGUUUGCAAGUUUUACGUGGCUGAAGUAGGGUUCUAGCAAGAACGUUUUCUUACCUACGUGAAACCACAACGUGAUUUGUCAACUUCUAUUUACCCUUCAUAAGGACCCUUUUCAUCGAAUCCGCUUCAACUAAAGUAGGAGAGACAGACACCCGCCAGCCACCUUAUGCAACUUGUGCAUGUUAGUCGGUGGAACCGGUCUCACGUAAGCGUACGUGUAAGGUUGGUCCGGGCCGCUUCAUCCCACAAUACCGCUGAAGCAAGAUAAGACUAGUAGCGGCAAGAAAGUUGACAAAUCUACGCCCACAACCAAUUGUGUUCUACUCGUGCAAGAAGAACUACGCAUAGACCUAGCUCAUGAUGCCACUGUUGGGGAACGUUGCAGAAAACAAAAAUUUUCCUACUCGUUUCACCAAGAUCAUCUAGGAGUUCAUCUAGCAACGAGUGAAUAGAUGCAUCUACAUACCUUGUAGAUCGCGAGCGGAAGCGUUCAAAGAACGGGGAUGAUGUAGUCGAACACGACGUGAUUCGAAUCACCGGAGAUCCUAGCACCGAACGGACGGCACCUCCGUGUUCAACACACGUACGGAACAGCCACAUCUCCUCCUUCUUGAUCCAGCAAGGGAGGGAGGAGAGGUUGAGGGAGAUGGCACCAGCAGCAGCACGACGGCGUGGUGUUGAUGGAGCUGCAGUACUCCGGCAGAGCUUCGCUAAGCAAUAAGGAGGUGGAGGAGGUGUUGGGGAGGGAGAAGGAGGCAACCAAAGGCCAAGGACUCAAGGUGUGAAGUCCCUCCUCUCCCCCACUAUAUAUAGGGGUGCCAAGGGGGGGUGGCCGGCCCUAGGAGAUCCAAUCUCCUAGGGGGUGCGGCGGCCAAGGGGGGUUUCCCUCCCCCCCAAGGCACCUAGGAGGUGCCUUCCACUAGUAGGACUCCUCCCCCUUGGAAACCCUAGGCGCAUGGGCCUAGUGGGGCUGGUGCCCUUGGCCCAAGCAGGCCAAGGCGCACCCCCUACAGCCCAUGUGGCCCCCGGGGAUGGGUGGCCCCACCCGGUGGGCCCCUGGGACCCCUCCGGUGGUCCCGGUACAAUACCGAUAACCCCGAAACUUGUCCCGAUGCCCGAAACAGGACUUCCCAUAUAUAAAUCUUUACCUCCGGACCAUUCCGGAACUCCUCGUGACGUCCGGGAUCUCAUCCGGGACUCCGAACAACAUUCGGGUUACUGCAUAUACAUAUCCCUACAACCCUAGCGUAACUGAACCUUAAGUGUGUAGACCCUACGGGUUCGGGAGACAUGUAGACAUGACCGAGAUCGCUCUCCGGUCAAUAACCAACAGCGGGAUCUGGAUACCCAUGUUGGCUCCCACAUGCUCCACGAUGAUCUCAUCGGAUGAACCACGAUGUCGAGGAUUUAAUCAACCCCCUAUGCAAUUCCCUUUGUCAAUCGAUAUGUUACUUGCCCGAGAUUCGAUCGUCGGUAUCCCAAUACCUCGUUCAAUCUUGUUACCGGCAAGUCACUUUACUCGUACCGUAAUGCAUGAUCCCGUGACCAAACACUUGGUCACUUUGAGCUCAUUAUGAUGAUGCAUUACUGAGUGGGCCCAGUGAUAUCUCUCCGUCAUACGGAGUGACAAAUCCCAGUCUCGAUCCAUAUAAAACAAUAGAUACUUUCGGAGAUACCUGUAGUGCACCUUUAUAGUCACCCAGUUACGUUGUGACGUUUGAUACACCCAAAGCACUCCUACGGCAUCCAGGAGUUAUACAAUCUCAUGGUCGAAGGAAGAGAUACUUUGACAUUGCAAAACUCUAGCAAACGAACUAUACGAUCUUGUGCUAUGUUUAGGAUUGGGUCUUGUCCAUCACAUCAUUAUCCUAAUGAUGUGAUCCCGUUAUCAAUGACAUCCAAUGUCCAUAGCCAGGAAACCAUGACUAUCUAUUGAUCAAUGAGCUAGUCAACUAGAGGCUUACUAGGGACAUGUUGGUGUCUGUUAUUCACACAUGUAUUACGAUUUCCGGAUAACACAAUUAUAGCAUGAAUAAAGACAAUUAUCAUGAACAAAGAAAUAUAAUAAUAAUGCUUUUAUUAUUGCCUCUAGGGCAUAUUUCCAACACUGUAUGGUGACCACACCCUGGUUCUUCCAAGCCGUGCUCCGGAGGUUGUCAAGUAUGACCCUCGGAUUGACCUGGAAAGGGGACAGGAGGCGCCCCACCACCAGGAAUCCGCUGACGGCCUUGCGGGUAGCCUCCAUGUGAAUGACAAGAGGCCGACGAAGAGAGGAACCAGCUUGGAAAAUGGCCGGCGAUGAGCCCCCUCCCUCCAUGGCGUCCAUCACCCUCCUGGAACCCACUCCACUCACAAGUUUCUUCCCCACCGCACUACUCACAUUCUCUCCCUGACCCGCCAUGGAACACUUCACUAGGCCGCCACAAGGAAUGGAAGGAGCAGAGAACAAGUGAUACUGCAAUGGUGAGGAACCUGAAGAAAGACAACCUCUCCCGUACCCACAACUACAGCAAGCCAUGGUCCCUGUCGGAGUAAUGGGCCAUGGGUAGGCCAACCCGAGCCCCAUAACCUUUCAAGACAUCGGGGCAGGCUGCGCCCCUCAAGACCACAGGGUGAAGAGUCGCCUCCUGGGGAGUCUACGGCAAGGCGGCCGACUGCCCGCUCACGGCCGAGUCCCAGGGGUGACUUCUAGAGAAGCCGGCUUUGGGGAGUCGGCCGGCGACUCCAACAAACCGUGACCUCAUCGAAGGGGACGGGGCAGGGGCGUGGCUACAAUGAAGCCCACUCCCCGCCCCUUACCAAGGGCAGGCAUGGCUACAGCACGCCGUACUUGGGAAGAUCUUCCUGCGGCGUGGCACUGUUGCCCGGCCGGCCCUGACAUCAGCACCACUGUACCGGGUCCUGCGCCCACGACAGCUUGUCUGUACGGCCUGGAGGCAGCGGGGCCCACCAGUCAGCGAGACCUCGGGAGACGGCGGGAGAACCGCCAGUCGGACCCAUCGGGAGUCGGCCCGGGGGAGUCGGCCGAGCCCUCCCCCAGGGCCCACGCGCCAUUAAUCAAGAAGAGAUGGGGAGUGGCCACAGUGACCGCCUGCCAGGCGGCGGGGCUGUUGCCACGACCCCAUGACCAAGCUUGCGUCAUCAGGAGCACGACUACAGUAAUCAACAGCCGGCAAGACCCGCCCGUGACGGACGCAACCUGUCGGCUCCGUACCAGACUAGUCGGCGGGGCCCAGCAGUCGGUAGGCCCCAGCAGUCGGCGAAGAAGUCGAAGGUCGGAGGCACUGACGGUUGGGCCCACGCCCAGUCGAAUUACCAUUGUACCCCUGGGGGGUAGGCCUAUAUAAACCCCCCAGGGCACCCAUGCAAAGGGUUGGAUCCCAGUAGUUCUAUACCAUACCAGAUAGAAGGAGAGAGCUAGCCUUGCCCUCUCCUACCACCAGACACAGCUCAAAGAGCAACCGUGUAAGCACUUGACCAUAGUGAUCAUGCGGAGAUCCCGCAGAGUAGCAGUAGGGGUAUUAUCUCUUCGGAGAGCCCCGAAGCUGGGUAAGAUUCGCCGGCGUGCAUGUCUUCGCCUCAUCCCGUUUCCAGGCACCGGCGACGUUUUACUCGCCCCCACCAUGUUAAGCCAUCCGUUGGCAUAUGUCGCACCAAACCCCCGACAUUUGGCGCCCACCGUGGGGCAUGGUGCACCGCCAUCCGGAGAUCUGUUCUGGACGGGAACCCUUUUCCUCCCUGGCGAGUGCAGCCAGCCAGGCAUGCCAGACGAAGUUUGCGUCGACGCGCUGCGCGGCGUUGAGACCGCCUGCGCAACCAGCUCCUUGGCCGAACUUGUCGACGAGGUACGCCUCUCCGACGAACCUGCAUCCGACACAGGCGCAGGCGGCCCCGAAAACCUCCUCGCGGGCCUCCUCGAUCAACUCCAUGUUUCCGGCGAGCUUGCCGUAGACUUGGAGUCCGUAGGCUCCACCGACCCGAUGUUGGUCGACUCCGACACCGCGUCGGUCGACGCGUUCCCCACCAACGUGGUGGUCUAUGACGAACCUCUCCCCCACGCGGAGAGCGACGGAAGCACCGUCACUGAGGUGCUGGUCAUCAGUCAUGACGAGUUCCCUGGCGGAGGGGCGCCCGACUCACUCGGCGUGGCGCUGCAAGACCUAGCUGCGCCCAUUCCGGAAGAUGCUGACGCAGAGAUGUCAGAAGCGCGCCACCUUUAGCUUGUUGAAGGCGCGAAGAAGCUGGCCAGCAUGACACGCUUGUCAGAAGCUUACCAGCGGGAGAUGGAUCACCUGUUGGCGGCUCGUCGGCCCCAGCAGGGCCCAGCCGCCUUGGCGCGGUUCAGCAGCGCGGCGUAGCCAUCACCAGCCUGUUUGGGGCUAGCCGCCCCGUGUAUGCCACGCCAGCGGAAUGUUGGGGAACGUAGCAUAAAUUCAAAAUUUUCCUACGUGUCACCAAGAUCUAUCUAUGGAGUCAUCUAGCAACGAGGGAGGAGUGGAUCUACAUACCCUUGUAGAUCACACGCGGAAGCGUUCAAGAGAACGGGGUUGAUGGAGUCGUACUCGUCGUGAUCCAAAUCACCGAUGAUCCUAGCGCCGAACAGACGGCACCUCCGUGUUCAACACACGUACGGAGCAGCGACGUCUCCUCCUUCUUGAUCCAGCAAGGGGGGAGGAGGGGUUGAUGGAGAUCCAGCAGCACGACGGCGUGGUGGUGGAAGUAGCGGGAUUCCAACAGGGCUUCGCCAAGCGCUGCGGGAGGAGGGAGAUGUGUCAUGGGAGGGAGAGGGAGGCGCCAGAGCUUAGGUGUGGUUGCCCUCCCUUCCCCCCACUAUAUAUAGGGCCAAGGGAGAGGGGGGGGGGGCGCAGCCUUGGCCCUUCCUCCAAGGAAGGGUGCGCCCAGGGAGGAGUCCAUCCUCCCUAAGGCACCUAGGAGGUGCCUCCCCCCUUUAGGACUCUUUCUUUCCCUUAUCUCUUGGCGCAUGGGCCUCUUGGGGCUGGUGCCCUUGGCCCAUAUAGGCCAAGGCGCACACCCCUACAGCCCAUGUGGCCCCCCGGGGCAGGUGGACCCCCGGACCCCUUUCGGCACUCCCGGUACAAUACCGAUAAUGCGCGAAACUUUUCCGGCGACCAAAACAAGACUUCCCAUAUAUAAAUGUUUACCUCCGGACCAUUCCAGAACUCCUCGUGACGUCCGGGAUCUCAUCCGGGACUCCGAACAACUUUCGGGUUACCGCAUACUAAUAUCUUUAUAACCCUAGCGUCACCGAACCUUAAGUGUGUAGACCCUACGGGUUCGGGAGACAUGCAGACAUGACCGAGAUGACUCUCCGGUCAAUAACCAACAGCGGGAUCUAGAUACCCAUGUUGGCUCCCACAUGUUCCACGAUGAUCUCAUCGGAUGAACCACGAUGUCAAGGACUUAAUCAAUCCUGUAUACAAUUCCCUUUGUCUAGCGGUACGAUACUUGCCCGAGAUUCGAUCGUCGGUAUCCCGAUACCUUGUUCAAUCUCGUUACCGGCAAGUCUCUUUACUCGUUUUGUAACACAUCAUCCCAUGAUCAACUCCUUGAUCACAUUGUGCACAUUAUGAUGAUGUCCUACCGAGUGGGCCCAGAGAUACCUCUUCGUUUACACGGAGUGACAAAUCCCAGUCUCGAUUCGUGCCAACCCAACAGACACUUUCGGAGAUACCUGUAGUGUACCUUUAUAGCCACCCAGUUACGUUGUGACGUUUGGCACACCCAAAGCACUCCUACGGUAUCCGGGAGUUGCACAAUCUCAUGGUCUUAGGAAAUGAUACUUGACAUUAGAAAAGCUUUAGCAUAUGAACUACAUGAUCUUGUGCUAGGCUUAGGAUUGGGUCUUUGUCCAUCACAUCAUUCUCCUAAUGAUGUGAUCCCGUUAUCAAUGACAUCCAAUGUCCAUGGUCAGGAAACCGUAACCAUCUAUUGAUCAACGAGCUAGUCAACUAGAGGCUUACUAGGGACAUGGUGUUGUCUAUGUAUCCACACAUGUAUCUGAGUUUCCUAUCAAUACAAUUCUAGCAUGGAUAAUAAACGAUUAUCAUGAACAAGGAAAUAUAAUAAUAACUAAUUUAUUAUUGCCUCUAGGGCAUAUUUCCAACAGUCUCCCACUUGCACUAGAGUCAAUAACUAAUUUAUUAUUGCCUAUCGUCAUGUGAUUAACACUCACAGGUCAUAUCGCCAUGUGACCAACAUCCAAAGAGUUUACUAGUGUCACUAAACUAGUUCACAUCAUCAUGUGAUUAAGACUCAAUGAGUUCUGGGUUUGAUCAUGUUUUGCUUGUGAGAGAGGUUUUAGUCAACGAGUCUGCAACAUUCAGAUCCGUAUGUACUUCGCAAAUCUCUUGGUCAUAUUAUAAAUGUUGCUUCCAUGCUCCACUUGGAGCUAUUCCAAAUGGUUGCUCCACUAUGCGGAUCCGGUUUGCUACUCAGAGUCAUUCAGAUAGGUGUUAAAGCUUGCAUCGAUGUAACCCUUUACACCGAACUCUUUAUCACCUCCAUAAUCGAGAAACAUGUCCUUAUUACUCCAAGGACAAUUUUUUGAUCGCUAUAUAGUGAUCCACUCCUGGAUCACCUUUGUACCCUCUUGCCAAACAUGUGGCAAGGCACACAUCAGGUGCGGUACUUAGCAUGGCAUACCGUAUAGAGCCUAUGACAAAAGCAUAGGGGACGACAUUCGUCCUUUCUCUUUCUUCUGCCGUGGUCGAGCUUUAAGUCUUAACUUCAUACCUUACAACUCAGGCAAGAACGCCUUCUUUGACUGAUCCAUCUUGAACACCUUCAAGAUCAUGUCAAGGUAUGUGCUCAUUUGAAAGUACCAUUAAGCGUUUUGAUCUAUCCUUAUAGAUCUUGAUGCUCAACGUUCAAGUAUCUUAAUCCAGGCUUUCCAUUGAAAAACACUUUUCAAAUAACUCUGCAUGCUUUCUAGAAAUUCUACAUCAUUUCCGAUCAACAACAUGUUAACAACACAUACUCAUCGGAAAUUCUAUAGUGCUCCCACUCACUUCUUUGGAAAUACAAGUUUCUCAUAAACUUUGUAUACACCCAAAAUCUUUGAUCAUCUCAUCAAAGCAUACAUUCCAACUCCGAGAUGCCUACUCCAGUCCUUAGAAGGAUUGCUGAAGCUUUGCAUACUUAUUAGCAUCUUUCAGGAUUGACAAAACCUUCCGGUUGUAUCACAUACAACCUUUCCUCAAGAAAAUCGUCGAGGAAACAAUGUUUUGACAUCCUAUCUGCAAGAUUUCAUAAAUAAUGCAGUAAUCGCUAAUAUAAUUCCAACAGACUCUUAGCAUCGCUACGAGUGAGAAAGUCUCAUCAUAGUCAACUCCUUGAACUUGUCGGAAAAAAUCUUAACGACAAGUCGAACUUUCUUAAUGGUGAUACUUACCAUCAUUGUCCGUCUUCCUUUUAAAAUCCAUAUGUACCUAACAACCUUAUGACCAUCAAGUAGUUCUUCCAAAGUCUACACUUUGUUUUCAUAUAUGGAUCCUCUCUCGGAUUUUAUGGCCUCAAGCCAUUUAUCGGAAUCCGGGCCCACCAUCGCUUCUCCAUAGCUCGUAGGCUCAUUGUUGUCUAGAAACAUGACUUCCAAGACAGGAUUACGUACCACUCUGAAGUAGUACGCAUCCUUGUCAUCCCACGAGGUUUGGUAGUGACUUGAUCCGAAGUUUCAUGAUCAAUAUCAUAAGCUUCCACUUCAAUUAGUGUAGGUGCCACAGGAACAACUUCCUGUGCCCUGCCACACACUAGUUGAAGAGACGGUUCAAUAACCUCAUCAAGUCUCCACCAUCCUCCCACUCAAUUCUUUAGAGAGAAACUUUUCCUCGAGAAAGUACCUGAUUCUAGAAACAAUCCCUUAUUGCUUUCGGAUCUGAGACAGGAGGUAUACCCAACUGUUUUGGGUGUCCUAUGAAGAUGCAUUUUAUCCGCUUUGGGUUCGAGCUUAUCAAUCCUGAAACUUUUUCACAUAAGCGUUGCAGCCCCAAACCUUUAAGAAACGACAACUUAGGUUUCUCUAAACCAUAAUUCAUACGGUGUCAUCUCAAUGCAAUUACGUGGUGCCCUAUUUAAAGUGAAUGUGGUUGUCUCUAAUGCCUAACCCAUGGACAAUAGUGGUAAUUCGAUAAGAGACAUCAUGGUAUGCAUCAUAUCCAAUAGGGUGCAGUUAUGAUGUUCGGACACACCAUCACACUAUGGUGUUCCAGGCUGUAUUAGUUGUGAAACAAUUUCCACAAUGUCUUAAUUCUGUGCCAAACUCGUAAUUCAGAUAUUCAUCUCUAUGAUCAUAUCAUAGAUAUUUUAUCCUCUUGUCACGACGAUCUUUCAACUUCACCCUGAAUUUACUUGAACCUUUCAAUAAUUCAGACUCAUGAUUCAUCAAGUAAAUAUACUCAACAUCUACUCAAAUCAUCUGUGAAGCAAGAACAUAACGAUAUCCACUACAUGCCUCGGCACUCAUUGGACUGCACACAUCAAAAUGUAUUACUUCCAACAAGUUGCUUUCUAGUUCCAUUUUACUGAAAACGAGGCUUUCAGUCAUCUUGCCCAUGUGGUAUGAUUUGCAUGUCUCAAGUGAUUCAAAAUCAAGUGAGUCCAAACGGUCCAUUUGCAUGGAGUUUCUUCAUGCAUAUACACCAAUAGACAUGGUUCGCAUGUCCCAAACUUUUCAAAAACGAGUGAGCCCAAAGAUCCAUCAACAUGGAGCUUCUUCAUGCAUUUUAUACCAAUAUGACUUACGUGGCAGUGCCACAAGUAGGUGGUACUAUCAUUACUAUCUUAUAUCUUUUGGCAUGAACAUGUGUAUCACUACGAUCGAGAUUCAAUAAACCAUUCAUUUUAGGUGCAAGACCAUUGAAGGUAUUAUUCAAAUAAAUAGAGUAACCAUUAUUCUCCUUAAAUGAAUAACCGUAUUGCGAUAGACAUAAUCCAAUCAUGUCUAUGCUCAACGCAAACACCAAUCUCGAUGGUAGAGGGAGCGUACGAUAUUUGAUCAACCUUGGAAAUACUUCCAACACAUAUCGUCAUCUCACCUUUUAGCUAGUCUCCGUUUAUUCCGUAGCUUUUAUUUCGAGUUACUAACACUUAGCAACCGAACCGGUAUCUAAUACCCUGGUGCUACUAGGAGUACUAGUAAAGUACACAUUAACAUAAUACAUCCAAUAUACUUCUAUCGACUUUGCCAGCCUUCUAUCUACCAAGUAUCUAGGGUAAUUCUGCUCCAGUGGCUGUUCCCUUUAUUAUAGAAGCACUUAGUCUCGGGUUUGGGGGGUUUCUUCACUAGAGCAGUAGCUGAUUUGCCGUUUCAUGAAGCAUCCCUUUUUGCCCUUGCCCUUCUUGAAACUAGUGGUUUCACAAACCAUCAACAAUUGAUGCUCCUUCUUGAUUUCUACUUUUGUGGUGUCAAACAUCGCGAAUAUCUCAAGGAUCAUCAUAUAUGUCCCUGAUACAUUAUAGUUCAUCACGAAGCUCUAGCAGCUUGGUGGUAAUGACUUCGGAGAAACAUCAAUAUCUCAUCUGGAAGAUCAACUCCCACUCGAUUCAAAUGAUUGUUGUACUUAGACAAUCUGAGCACAAGCUCAACAAUUGAUCUUUUCUCCUUAGUUUGUAGGCUAAGAAAAUCGUCGGAGGUCUUAUACCUCUUGACGUGGGCACGAGCCUGAAAUCCCAAUUUUAGCCCUCGAAACAUCUCAUAUGUUUCGCGAUGUUUCAAAACCGUCUUCGGUGCCUCAACUCUAAGCCGUUUAACUGAACUAUCACGUAGUUAUCAAAAUGUGUAUGUCAGAUGUUUGCAACAUCCAUAGACAACGUUCGAGGUUCAGCACACUGAGCGGUGCAUUAAGGACAUAAGCCUUCUAUGAAGCAAUGAGGACAAUCCUCAGUUUACGGACCUAGCCCACAUAAUUGCUACUAUCAACUUUCAACUAAAUUUUCUCUAGGAACAUAACUAAAUAGUAGAACUGAAGCGCGAGCUACGACAUAAUUUGCGAAGACCUUUUGACUAUGUUCAGGAUAAUUAAGUUCAUCUUAUGAACUCCCACUCAGAUAGACAUCCCUCUAGUCAUCUAAGUGAUUACAUGAUCUGAGUCAACUAGGCCGUGUCCGAUCAUCACGUGAGACGGACUAGUCAACAUCGGUGAACAUCUUCAUGUUGAUCGUAUCUUCUAUACGACUCAUGCUCGACCUUUCGGUCUCUUGUGUUCCGAGGCCAUGUCUGUACAUGCUAGGCUCGUCAAGUUAACCUAAGUGUUUCACAUGUGUUCCGAGGCCAUGUCUGUACAUUCUAGGCUCGUCAACACCCGUUGUAUUCGAACGUAAGAAUCUAUCACACCAGAUCAUCACGUGGUGCUUCGAAACGACGAACUUUCGCAAAGGUGCACAGUUAGGGGGAACACCUUCUUGAAAUUGUAAUGAGGGAUCAUCUUAUUUACUACCGUCGUUCUAAUCAAAUAAGAUGUAUAAACAUGAUAAACAUCACAUGCAAUCAAAUAGUGACAUGAUAUGGCCAAUAUCAUAUUGCUCCUUUUGAUCUCCAUCUUCGGGGCUCCAUGAUCAUCAUCGUCACCGGCAUGACACCAUGAUCUCCAUCAUCAUGAUCUCUAUCAUCGUGUCUUCAUGAAGUUGUCUCAUCAACUAUUACUUCUACUACUACAGCUAACGGUUAGCAAUAAAGUAAAGUAAUUACAUGACGUUUAUGUUGACACGCAGGUCAUAAAUAAAUUAAGACAACUCCUAUGGCUCCUGCCGGUUGUCAUACUCAUCGACAUGCAAGUCGUGAUUCCUAUUACAAGAACAUGAUCAUCUCAUACAUCACAUAUAUCAUUCAUCACAUCCUUUGGCCAUAUCACAUCACAUAGCAUACCCUGCAAAAACAAGUUAGACGUCCUCUAAUUGUUGUUUGCAUGUUUUACGUGGCUGCUAUGGGUUUCUAGCAAGAACGUUUCUUACCUACGCAAAGACCACAACGUGAUAUGCCAAUUGCUAUUUACCCUUCAUAAGGACCCUUUUCAUCGAAUCCAAUCCGACUAAAGUGGGAGAGACAGACACCCGCCAGCCACUUUAUGCAACUAGUGCAUGUCAGUCGGUGGAACCGGUCUCACGUAAGCGUACGUGUAAGGUUGGUCCGGGCCGCUUCAUCCCACAAUGCCGCCGAAUCAAGAUUGGACUAGUAACGGUAAGCAUAUUGAACAAAAUCAACGCCCACAACUACUUUGUGUUCUACUCGUGCAUAGAAUCUACGCAAUAGACCUAGCUCAUGAUGCCACUGUUGGGGAACGUAGCAUAAAUUCAAAAUUUUCCUACAUGUCACCAAGAUCUAUCUAUGGAGUCAUCUAGCAACGAGGGAGGAGUGGAUCUACAUACCCUUGUAGAUCACGCGCGGAAGCGUUCAAGAGAACGGGGUUGAUGGAGUCCUACUCGUCGUGAUCCAAAUCACCGAUGAUCCUAGCGCCGAACGGACGGCACCUUCGCGUUCAACACACGUACGGAGCAGCGACGUCUCCUCCUUCUUGAUCCAGCAAGGGGGGAGGAGAGGUUGAUGGAGAUCCAGCAGCACGAAGACGUGGUGGUGGAAGUAGCGGGAUUCCAACAGGGCUUCGCCAAGCGCUGCGGGAGGAGGGAGAUGUGUCAUGGGAGGGAGAGGGAGGCGCCAGGGCUUAGGUGUGGCUGCCCUCCCUUCCCCCCACUAUAUAUAGGGCCAAGGGAGAGGGGGGGGGGCGCAGCCUUGGCCCUUCCUCCAAGGAAGGGUGCGGCCAGGGAGGAGUCCAUCCUCCCUAAGGCACCUAGGAGGUGCCUUCCCCCUUUAGGACUCUUUCUUUCCCUUAUCUCUUGGCGCAUGGGCCUCUUGGGGCUGGUGCCCUUGGCCCAUAUAGGCCAAGGCGCACACCCCUACAGCCCAUGUGGCCCCCCGGGGCAGGUGGACCCCCGGACCCCUUUCGGCACUCCCGGUACAAUACCGAUAAUGCGUGAAAUUUUCCGGCGACCAAAACAAGACUUCCCAUAUAUAAAUCUUUACCUCCGGACCAUUCCGGAACUCCUCGCGACAUCUGGGAUAUCAUCCGGGACUCCGAACAACUUUCGGGUUACUGCAUACUAAUAUCUCUAUAACCCUAGCGUCACCGAACCUUAAGUGUGUAGACCCUACGGGUUCGGGAGACAUGCAGACAUGACCGAGAUGACUCUCCGGUCAAUAACCAACAGCGGGAUCUGGAUACCCAUGUUGGCUCCCACAUGUUCCAUGAUGAUCUCAUCGGAUGAACCACGAUGUCAAGGACUUAAUCAAUCCCGUAUACAAUUCCCUUUGUCUAGCGGUACGAUACUUGCCCGAGAUUCGAUCGUCGGUAUCCCGAUACCUUGUUCAAUCUCGUUACCGGCAAGUCUCUUUACUCGUUUCGUAACACAUCAUCCCAUGAUCAACUCCUUGAUCACAUUGUGCACAUUAUGAUGAUGUCCUACCGAGUGGGCCCAGAGAUACCUCUCCGUUUACACGGGGUGACAAAUCCUAGUCUCGAUUCGUGCCAACCCAACAGACACUUUCGGAGAUACCUGUAGUGUACCUUUAUAGCCACCCAGUUACGUUGUGACGUUUGGCACACCCAAAGCACUCCUACGGUAUCCGGGAGUUGCACAAUCUCAUGGUCUAAGAAAAUGAUACUUGACAUUAGAAAAGCUUUAGCAUACGAACUACAUGAUCUUGUGCUAGGCUUAGGAUUGGGUCUUUGUCCAUCACAUCAUUCUCCUAAUGAUGUGAUCCCGUUAUCAAUGACAUCCAAUGUCCAUGGUCAGGAAACCGUAACCAUCUAUUGAUCAACGAGCUAGUCAACUAGAGGCUUACUAGGGACAUGGUGUUGUCUAUGUAUCCACACAUGUAUCUGAGUUUCCUAUCAAUACAAUUCUAGCAUGGAUAAUAAACGAUUAUCAUGAACAAGGAAAUAUAAUAAUAACUAAUUUAUUAUUGCCUCUAGGGCAUAUUUCCAACACGGAGAACAUCCGAGCCGCCCAAGCAACGGCGGAUGAGGUGGACAAUUUCGAGGGCGAAGAGCGCCGCCUCAUGAUGGAGCGAGUCCAGUGGCUCCUCGACGCGGCCGCCGCGCAGAACGAGGCCAGCUGCCGCACGGAGGCGCCGCAGCGGCCAAACGACGACCCGCACUGAGAUCAAGGCGCGACGUCUCGGACGCCGACUGGCGGUGCCCGAGGAAGAAAGGACAAGGAGCCGGCUGUCAACCACAGUCGGACUCGGAUUACCAUAGAGCGUGACCGAGACGGCCACCCGAGAGCAGUGGAACGACGGGACGACUGUCCGCCUCCCCCUCCUUGCAAGGAGAGGCGAGUCUCCCCGCCGCUUGUUGACCAUCCGACUCUCGGUGACCGCCUUGGCCGCCGAGAGGGAGUUGGAGAGAAUGACGCCCGCCACCGGAUCGACCGACUUCACCGGUCCGUGGCGCUGGAAGAAGAAGACGAGCUGGGUCCGCCUUGUUUCGGGCCCCGCAUUCGGGACGAGCCCUUUCCCAGAGGGUUCACGCUCCCAAGAGACACGCCCAAGUAUACCGGCUCCGUGAAGCCGGAAGAUUGGCUAGUCGACUACUCCAUGGCUGUCAGCAUAGCAAACGGCAACAAGCGUGUCACCGUAAAGUACGUUCCGCUCAUGCUCCAGGGCACAGCCCAGACAUGGCUGAACAGCCUAAAGCCCCGCAGCAUCAAUACCUGGGUCGACUUCACUGAAGCAUUCGUCUGCAACUUCACCAGCACGUACAAGCGUCCUCCCAAGCCCCGUCAGCUCUCCUUGUGCGUGCAAGGUCCUGACGAGUCGACUCGCGACCACCUCACGCAUUGGGCUGAGCUCCGGAACUCCUGCGAGGGCAUGCACGAGGUGCAGGCCAUCGAGUACUUCACAGCCGGGUGCCGAGAAGGCACCCUCCUCAAGCACAAGCUCCUCUGCGACGAGCCAGAAAUCCUCGACGAGCUGCUGAUCAUAGCAGACAAGUACGCUACGGCCGACUCCUCCAUGAAGACGGAAAUUCAAAUCAGCACGACUGGCAAAGUAGCUCCUCAGGCUCCAAGAACUCCGGCGGCAGACGCCGGCCGGCGACAACAGCAGGGCGACAACAAGCGCAAGGCCCCGCAGCCGGCUUCCAGCAGCCGACAGGUCGCGAUCGUUGAAGCCCAGCAGCCAGAAGAGCAGCCUCCGCCCAAGCGACAGAAAGGCGGCAAGCCGAACUGGUUGCCGGUCUUCUCCUACGAGCAGACCUUGGAUGGACCUUGCAAGUUCCACAGCGGCGCGAAGCCGUCGAAUCACACCACCCGAAAGUGCCACUGGCUCACCAGGAUCGCCAAGGGAGACGACCUCCUGCCACCCCCGCCUGCUGGGCAGCCGCCUCCGCCCCAGCAGCCGGCAGUCAGGCCAGUCGGCGCAGUACAAGACGAAUACCCUGAAGAGCAUGGAGCCUACAUGGUGUUCACCAGUGUGGCUGAUGAUCGACGCAGCAGGCGGCUGCAGCGACAAGAGGUGAACGCAGUAGCCUCAGAGAUGCCAGAGUUCAUGCACUGGUCUGAGAGGCCCAUCAGUUGGAGCAGGGCUGACCACCCAGAAGUGAUGCCGAGUCUGGGCUCCUACGCCUUGGUCCUGGACGCCACCUUUGCCACGGACAAACGGGCCGCGCGUUUCUCGCGAGUUCUGAUAGAUGGGGGCAGCAGCAUCAAUAUCCUGUACAAGGACACCAUGGAGAAGUUAGGAAUCAAGCAGAGAUAGCUUCAGAACAGCCGGACUGUGUUCCACGGCAUUGUUCCUGGGCUUUCCUGCUCACCAAUCGGCAAGAUCCUGAUUGACGUCCUCUUUGGGGACAAAGAUCACUUCCGAAGAGAAUCUGUUUGGUUUGAGGUAGUGGACCUUGAGAUCCCAUACCAUGCGCUACUUGGCCGGCCCGCCUUGGCCAAGUUCAUGGUGGUCCCCCACUACGCCUACCUCAAAAUGAAGAUGCCCAGUUCCAGGGGAAUUCUGACCGUGGCCGGCGACUACCGGAAGUCAUCCGCUUGCCCGACCGAGAGCAGUCGGCUGGCCGAGUCCCUGGUGAUUGUAGCCAAGAAGUGACUCCUUGAGCGAGUUGUGGCGAUGGCCGGCAAGCAGCCGGAGAUAUCGCCCGACCCGAAGGAGUCGGAAGCCGAAGGUUCGUUCAAGCCGGCCAAAGAGACAAAGAAGAUACCCUUGGAUCUGGAGCGCCCAGAGAGGUACGCCGUCGUAGGUGCAAACCUCGACAGCAAAUAGGAAGGCGAGCUCGUUGAUUUCCUCCGUGAGAAUCGGGACAUCUUCGCAUAGUCUCCCAAGGACAUGCCAGGUGUACCGAUGGAUUUCGCCGAGCACAAGUUACACGUCCGAUCUGAUGCAAAGCCGGUCAGGCAGCCCCUGCGUCGCUUAUCAGAAGAGAAGAGAAGAGUUGUCGGAGAAGAGAUAGCCCAACUCCUAGCAGCCGGCUUCAUUAUGGAAGUUUUCUUCCCGGAGUGGCUGGCAAAUCCGGUCCUGGUGCUAAAGAAGAACAAGAAAUGGCGAAUGUGUAUUGACUACACGAGCCUCAACAAGGCCUGCCCCAAGGACCGAUUUGCUCUACCAAGAAUUGACCAGUUGAUAGACUCCACAGCCGGAUGCAAGUUGUUGAGCUUCUUGGAUGCAUACUCAGGAUAUCACCAGAUCAAGCUGAAUCCGGCUGACAGAUUGAAGACCGCCUUCAUCACGCCAUUUGGAGCAUUCUGCUACCUCACCAUGACGUUCGGCUUAAGGAAUGCCGGCGCCACCUUUCAGCGUUGCAUGCAGAAGUGCCUCCUCAAGCAGCUCGGCAGGAACGCCCACGUUUACGUGGACGACGUGGUGGUGAAGACGGAAAAGCGAGGAACACUGCUGGAAGACCUCAAGGAGACCUUUGAGAACCUGCGCCGGUUCCAGAUCAAGCUCAACCCCGAGAAGUGUGUCUUCGGAGUACCAGCCGGCCAGCUGCUAGGUUUCCUAGUCUCUAAACGCGGCAUAGAAUGCAACCCAGUAAAAAUCAAGGCCAUCGAGAGAAUGAAGGUACCCAGCCGACUGCUGGAUGUGCAGAAGUUCACCGGCUGCUUGGCGUCCAUCAGCCGAUUCAUCAGUCGGCUGGGCGAGAAAGCUCCCCCUUAUACCAACUCAUGAAGAAGACCACUUUUUUUCGAGUGGAACCAUAAGGCGGAUGAAGCUUUCCACUAGUUGAAGAAGAUGCUGACUACUCCACCCAUCCUGGCGGCUCCGACUCCCAAGGAACCUAUGCUCCUAUACAUCGCCGCCACCAGCCAAGUAGUCAGCACAGUCAUUGUAGUAGAGCGCAAGGAGGAAGGCAAGGCGCUACCUGUCUAGAGACCAGUAUAUUACCUGAGCGAGGUACUGUCGACCUCCAAGCAGAACUACCCCCACUACCAGAAGAUCUGCUAUGGCGUGCACUUUGCUGCCAAGAAAUUGAAGCCUUACUUUCAAGAGCAUCCAAUCACAAUGGUCUGCACGGCUCCACUUGCCGAGAUCAUCGGUAGCCGAGAUGCCUCUGGUAGAGUGGCCAAGUGGGCCAUAGAGCUGGCUCCUUACACCAUCUACUACCAGCCCCGCACCGCUAUCAAAUCACAAGCACUGGCUGACUUCCUCGUCGACUGGGCCGAGACCCAGUACCUGCCUCCAGCGCCUGACUCCACCCAUUGGCGGAUGCACUUCGACAGCUCCAAGAUGCGCACCGGCUUGGGAGUCGGCGUCGUCCUCACCUCUCCCGAAGGCAACAAGCUCAAAUAUGCACUGCAAAUCCAUUUUGCCGCCUCCAACAACGUGGCUGAGUACGAGGCGCUCAUUCACGGGCUCCGGCUUGCCAAAGAACUUGGCAUCCGCCGGAUCUUGUGUUAUGGCGACUCGGACUUAGUGGUCCAGCAGUCAUCUGGCGACUGGGACGCGAGAGACGCAAACAUGGCGAGCUACUGUUUCCUUGUGCAGCAACUCAGCGGGUAUUUCGAAGGGUGCGAGUUCCUCCAUGUGCCAAGAAACGACAACGACCAAGCAGACGCCUUGGCACGAAUUGGCUCUACCCGCCAAGCAAUACCAUCUGGCGUCGCCCUUCAACGCCUCCUCAAGCCGUCUGUCAAGCCUUCACCAGAAUCAGACUCCAUUUUUGUGCCAACUCCUCCCGAAGACGACGGAUCCGACUCCAGAGCUCCGGCAGUCGGAACGGGGACUUUGGCGGGUGACUCCAAAGCUGCCACAGUCGACCCCGGCCCGGGGACUGCGGUGACGGACUCGAAGAUUCCAGAACUUGGCCCAAGGACCGCGCCAGUCGGCCUGGGGACUUCAUCAGCCCAGCAAGCGGCUGUUGACUCUAGCCCGCCGCCUCCCAGCCCAGCCACCCUCGUCCAAGUCAAAGUUCUGGUAGUCGAAGAAAUAGCAGCACCCUCAUGGGCCCAGCGCAUCCUCAAAUUCCUGGUGAACAAAGAGCUACCAACUGAUGAGACCUCAGCUCGGCAAGUACAACGCCGGGCGGCACCCUAUGCCAUAAUCAACAGAGAGCUGGUCAAGCGCAACAUCACUGGUGUCUACCAGUGCUGCGUAGAGCCAGAGCAAGGCCAGGCGAUCCUCAAAGACAUCCAUCAAGGCGAAUGCGGCCACCAUGUGGCUUCAAGAGCACUCGUUGCCAAAGCUUUUCGGCAUGGUUUCUUUUGGCCGACUGCCUUGGAAGAGGCCAAGGAGUUGGUCCAAAAAUGGAAAGGGUGCCAGAAGUUCAGCUCCAAGCCACACCAGCCGGCUUCCACGCUCAAGACCAUCCCCAUUGCUUGGCCUUUCGCAGUUUGGGGUCUAGACAUGGUGGGACCAUUCAAGACAGCACGAGGUGGUUUAACUCACCUACUUGUCACAAUGGACAAGUUCACCAAGUGGGUGGAAGUGAAGCCAAUUAAGAAACUGAACGGUCCGACUGCCGUGACCUUCAUCACCGAUAUCACAAUUCGGUACGGCAUACCACACAGCAUCAUCACCGACAACGGCACAAACUUUGUCAAAGGCGCCUUGGCCCGUUUCUGCGCAACACAGGGCAUCUGACUGUACCUAGCGUCCGUCGCCCAUCCGCAGUCAAACGGCCAAGUGGAGCGGGCAAACGACCUCAUCCUGUCCGGCAUCGAGCCUCGGUUGAUCGAGCCUCUGGAGAGCUCGGCUGGCUGCUGGCUUGACGAGCUGCCAGUCGUCGUCUGGAGUCUAUGUACGACUCCAAACAAGUCAACCGGCUUCACGCCCUUCUUCCUCGUCUAUGGUGCCGAAGCCGUCAUCACAACGGACAUAGAAUUCAACUCCCCACGAGUCACCAGGUACACCGAGGAGGAAGCAGAAGAAGCACGACAAGACGGCGUUGAUUUGCUGGAAGAGGGCCGGCUGUUGGUACUCAGCCAGUCCAGCAUAUACCAGCAGAGCCUACGCCGAUACCACAACAGGAAGGUCAUGCCAAGAUCUUUCCAAGAAGGCGACCUUGUGCUCCGGCUGAUCCAGCGAACAGCCGGCCAGCACAAGUUGUCGCCGCCUUGGGAAGGCCCUUUCAUCAUCAGCAAAGUACUAUGCAACGAUUCCUACUACCUGAUCGACGCUCAGAAGCCCCGAGCAAGCAUGAGGGACGACUCCGGCAAGGAGACAGAGCGGCCAUGGAAUGCAAAUCUUCUCCGAAGAUUUUAUAGUUGAUGCAGUAUGUACCACGCUACCUUUUGUAUUAAAGUACCAAGACUUCGGCCCCCCCGAGGCGAGCUCGGGGACUGCCCUCUUUUAUCUGUAUGAUAAAAAUUAUGCCUACAAGUAUGUUACUCUUUGUCAUGCCGCUUGGCACCGGGCUCGACAAGUCGGCCCGGGGACUUGCCGCCUUGCACUAUGAAAUGCUUCCUGCAGCCGGACAAGUAGUGUGUAACACCUAAGCCGUCUUCUGUCAGAAGCCGCAGCUCACAGAGCGACUGUACGGUGGGCAGAGGUAAGGUAGAAUGGGUGCUCGCACGAAAAAUGGCUAAGGACUCAAAGCGUAAAACAUAGCUCAAGACGGCUUCCAGCCUUUCUCGCAAACCGACUCUCGGACAGUCGGAUUGUUGUUUUCUAUCCAACUUGCUCAAACAAUCUUGAAAUCGGCUAAGUACUUGCUUUCCCAAAGUAGCCUAGCACUUGAUCCAGCAACAGUUCACAGAGCGGCUGUCCGAUUGGCAAGACAGGCAACUAAGAGAAAGCGGCAAAGGAAAAUAGCCAAAAGAACAAUGAGCAAGAAAAGAUAUAUAUAUGACAUAGGCCCUUGGCCGAAUUGUCGAGUAGAGGUUCAAAAUACACCCCGCGGGUGGAAUUGUGCGAAUUAACAAGUUCUUCAAAAGACUACAGAAGCAGAUAAAACAAAAGACACAACGGCAGCUUAGGAGGCGGCAGACGGAUUCGGGGGGGUCGGAGGAGGCGCCAGCGUCAGGCGUCGGGGCGGUCGGCCGUCUAGUCUCGGCUUGAUCGCCUCCGGCAGUAGUCGGGUCGGUCGCACGCGGCUCAUUGCUGGAGGUGCGGUCGGGCUGAGGCUGGCCGUCUGCUCCGUCUUCUGGUGCCUCUGCCUCGCCCUCAUCCUCUGCCUCGUCCUCCUCCUCGAUGCUGGAGCCAAUCACCUCCGCCGAGUCUUCGCCGUAGUCUGGGUUCAUCCCAAACCACUCCGGCGGUACCUCCUCACCGUCUUCAGACUGCUCGGGGACGAAGAUACUCGUGUCGGCGUACUCGGCGAUCGCCGCAGCACGCUUGACGAGGGCGUCUUCCGCAGCCGCCAGCUCCGGCUGGGCCUCUGACCGAAGCGUGGUCAACCGGUCUAGAUCCAGCCCCGGGUACCACGCCUUGACGAACUCCAAGGCCCGGCGCGCUCCAGCCCAGGCCGAAGAGCCCUUCCAGGCCUCGAGGCGACCAGCCGCGACCUCCAACCAGUUGGCCGUCAGGCUGGGGGUGUGCGGAGCCUGCAUAUCUGGCCAAAGGGCGGAAAUCGCCUGGGCACCGACGCGCUGAAGCCGGCGCAGCAUCCGGUGAGCCGGCCGGAGGCGAGCCUCGAUGCUCAAGAUAUGCUCAUCAAGAGUCCGGGGGCAUCGGCGGUGAUCUCCGCGCCCUCCGCCCUCCGACUUUCACUAUCGGCCUUGAUGGCUUGGAUAGCGGCCUGCGACUGCCCAGGGAAGAAGUAUGCAAAAGACACGAAGAAACGAAGAAGCAAGUCAAAAACCAGGAGUUGGCACGAUCUAAGUCGGCAGCUCGAAGAAAGAAAAUAAAGAGACUCACCAUCAACGAUGUCUUCAAUCUCGUGGAAGCCGGAGGACAGCAGCGCCUCCUUGUCAGACCAGGAGGAGCGCUCGCUCGCGAACUCGGCCAAGAGGGCGGUUUCCGUCUCCUCCACCUCCCUCUGCGACUUCGCAAGCAGCUCCUUCUGCUCUGCCAACUGAGUGGCCAGCAGAUCGCGCUCUGUGGCGAGCCUCUGCACUCCUCCCCUUUGGCGAGCAGGGCGGAGUUGGCUUCGCUCGGCUGCUGUUGAAGUGCAGUGUUGGCUCCUGAAGGAAAGGAAGAAAGACAACAGUCGUCAAUAAAGUAGGUAGCCGGGGAGAUCCGGCCCGACUGCUCAGCAGUCGGCCCAAAUCUCGGGGACUACAGCCCGCGGGUGCACUAGUGCGCCCCCGCAGAGAAGAAAAAAGAGGGAAGGACUUACUCCGACUCUCCGCCAAGUCGGUGGUCCGCUUGCCCAGCUCUUCAACAUUACGGUUGAAGGCAGUGACGCGAAGGAUGUGGUAAUCCUGCAACAAGCAUUUCAGACAAAGUUAGUACCCAGAAGUUCAUCAAUUGGAGUUCCGGGCCGCCUGCUCAGUAGUCGGCCCAAAACUCGGGGACUACACCCAGUGGGUGCGCUGGCGCGCCCCCACAGAGAGGAACAAGAAAAACAAAGGCCCAAAGAAAAACAUACCCGGACGGCUGCCCGCGACGCUAGAAACGCCUUGGUGCAACUCUAGAGGGCGUUGCCCUCAGCGCGGAGCUUCGCCUGGACGUCCAGGAGCGCCCGGUUCAGCGGCCCUGUGCCGCCUCCUCGCACCCACCCAACAGGUGCGGCGCUCGUCGCUUCGGCGUCUGGAGCCGCCGAGAUGGCGGUGCCGGCUUCCAGGGGGGGUGCCGAAGUCGCCUUCUCCAGACGAUGGCGCGCCGGCGAGCCGACUUGGAGGAGUAGCCUCGCCACGGCCUCGUCUUUGGUCGGUGGCACCGGAGGGUCCACUGGCUGCUCGCCUUGCACGCCUUCAGACGGCGGCGGAGGCGGCAGCGGAACGUUCGCGUCCAGAGUAGAGGGCUCGCCAACUUCCCUCUCCUCAACGAGGUUCUCCCCGCUGGCUUCUCCAGUCUGCCCCGUGAACUCCGAGGGCGGCGGCGCAGAGUUCAGCAGGGUAACAAGCAAGGCCGACUUGCGGCGUGCGGCUUCCUCAGCCUGCUGCUUCGCCGCGGCGGCGGCUUCGGCCUCCGCUAGUUUUUUCUUAGCGAAGACCUCCGCCCUGUCGGCCUCCGCAUUCUCCAGGCGGAGGGCUUCUUCUUCGUUGUGCUUCUCCUGCGCAUUCCGCUCUGUCGCCUCCCGGAGGUUGGCAGCGGGGUCUAUCCGCCGAGUGGUGGCGGGCGUCUCCAUUGACCCCAUGACGGAGGCAGCGGCGACCCGCUCAAGAGAGAGGGGAGUCCUAAAGAAAGAGGGGCGAGCAGAGACUCAGACAAAACACGAAUAAAGAAUAAACUUUGAAGACAGAAUACUUACGCAGAGACCAACAACGGCUUCUUCACUUCCUUACGGAAGUGGAUGGCCUUCGCGGUUGCCUCGUCCCGCCGGGUCGCCACAGCCGAGCCCUUGGGCUUCUUCGGCCGGCUGCCGAACAAAGUCGGCACAGCCCGGCGCUUCUUCCCACCGCCUGGAGUGCCCAACGUGGCAGAAGAGCCCGCGCCCGGCUGGCUGGCUCCUGGCCGAUGGCGAGGGGCGACUCCUCCCUCGGCGUCAUCUUCAGGCCAGUCGGCGAAGGUAGCCGAGGGCCUGAAGUCGCCUAUCGUUCCUCCUCCUCCCUCGGCGUCGUCUUCCAGGGCCACCGCCCCCAGAUCGGGGUCGUCGACGUCGCUCUCCGCCCGGUCGGCGACGAACUCACGGGCCGGCCCCGAGGUGCCGGCUGGUGGGUGAAGAAGGGGAUUCUAACCAAAGCCGACUGAUCAGAACAAAACUCGGCAAGAAGAAGACAAUCCAAAGAAAGAAAAGAAAGGCGACUCACCACGGGCGGGGGGUUGGCGCGGGAGUAUGGCUCCUUGCCGAAUCGCCAGUCCUCCGGGAGCCUGCUGUCCGGGAGGUAGUUCACCAUAAGGGCCACCUCUUCGUGAGGCAUGUCCUUGGUGCACAUCCGACUCGGGUCGCGGCCCCCGCUCAUCUGGCAUAUCAUGUGAGGGCGGCCUUGGAGUGGGAGAACUCGGCGCGAGACGAAGGCGGCCAGCAGGUCCGGACCAGUCAGACCCUCUGACUGCGUCAGCACUCGGAGUCGCGUGAUGUCACCGGCUCCCGCAGACGUCAGCGACCUAGCCUGGUACGACCAGUUGGGCAGUCUGCCAGCUGGCGGGCCGGCUUCGAAAGCCGGCAGAUUGAUCCACUCGCCCCUAGUGGUGAUGUUCCUGGCGUAGAAGUAGGACCUCUGCCACAUCUUCACCGACUUCAACAGCGAGAUGGAGGGGAAGUGGUUGUCGGCUCCUGUCCUUCGCAUGGUGAUGAAGGCGCCACACUGAGCCGGCACGCCCGCGGCCUGGGUGCCUAGCUUGGAGAAGAAGAACUCCCCCAGAGUUCGAGGGUGGGGAGGACUCCGAGGAAGCCUUCGCACAGAGCCACGAAGGCGGACAGCAGCACUACUGUGUUGGGGUGAGGUGGUGCGGCUGGAGGCCGUAGAACUCCAUGAACGACCAGAAAAAGCUGCUCGCCGGCAGCCCCAGCCCGCGUAGGCAGUGCGAGCGGAAGAUGACCCGCUCGCCCUCCUGCAGGGCGGGGGAAAUCUCCCCCGCCGGCGCAAGACGCACCUGCACGCGAUCUUCGCCGGGAAGCCGACGGGUCCGGCGGAGGAACUUGAUAUGGUCUUCGUGGACUUCGGAGCCGUCCCAGGUGCCGGAGCGCACUGGGGGAGGCGCGGCAGCGGAGGAAGAACUCAUCGCGAGCUGUCACCACAGCGUUCGCCGGAGCCUGGGCGUGCGGCGGAGCGAAGAAGAGAAGAGGAAGCAGGAGAGCGAGGAGCUGCGAGGAGGAAGAAAGCAAGGGGUAGUGGGAAGGAGGGGUGCGCAUGCCCCCUCUUCCCCCUACUUAUAGCCCUGUGGGCUGCGAAGCCGAGGGGGCGGAUGUGGGGAUUUACUGCGCCCGCAACCCCACGACCCCCACGAUCCAUGUAAAGUUACUGCGCGCAGUAACUUCACGGGAAUCCCAACUGUCCACCGGGGCCGCAGCGGAUCCGCUCGGGCGCCGGGGCACGGUAGUGGCGGGCCCCGCCUACGGGCCUGUCCCGUCGCGCGCGUGGGCUGGCAGGACGGCCUGGCCACGUGCCCUCGCGCAACAAGCCAAGAAUGGGCGGCGGCCUGGAAGCUUAGCUAGCAUGCCACUUGAAAUCCCGCCGCGACGUUCGAACUACUAGCAAGUCGGAAUUGAGUGAGUCCGAGUUGGGCGAGUCCGACUCCUUCUAGUCAGCCCGGCAGCAGUCAAUCAAUACCAUGUGUUGAGCACCCGAAAAGAGAAACUGCUGAGGCUUCUCGGCCGAUCGUCCGCGGCGCCUCACCAGCUUCGGGGACUACUGUUGGAGUAAUGGGCCAUGGGUAGGCCAACCCGAGCCCCAUAACCUUUCAAGACAUCGGGGCAGGCUGCGCCCCUCAAGACCACAGGGCGAAGAGCCGCCUCCUAGGGAGUCUACGGCAAGGCGGCCGACUGCCCGCUCACGACCGAGUCCCAGGGGCGACUUCCAGAGAAGCCGGCUUUGGGGAGUCGGCCGGCGACUCCAACAAACCGUGACCUCAUCGAAGGGGAUGGGGUAGGGUUGUGGCUACAAUGAAGCCCACUCCCCGCCCCUUACCAAGGGCAGGCAUGGCUACAGCACACCGUACUUGGGAAGAUCUCCCUGCGGUGUGGCACUGUUGCCCGGCCGGCCCUGACAUCAGCACCACUGUACCGGGUCCUGCACCCACGAUGGCUUGUCUGUACGGCCUGGAGGCAGCGGGGCCCACCAGUCAGCGAGACCUCGGGAGACGGCGGGAGAACCGCCAGUCGGACCCGUCAGGAGUCGGCCCGGGGGAGUCGGCCGAGCCCUCCCCCGGGGCCCACACGCCAUUAAUCAAGAAGAGAUGGGGAGUGGCCACAGUGACCGCCUGCCAGGUGGUGGGGCUGUUGCCACGACCCCAUGACCAAGCUUGCGUCAUUAGGAGCACGGCUACAGUAAUCAGCAGCCGGCAAGACCCGCCCGCGGCGGAUGCGGCCUGUCGGCUCCGUACCAGACCAGUCGGCGGGGCCCACCAGUCGGCGGAGAAGUCGGAGGUCGGAGGCACUGACGGCUGGGCCCGCGCCCAGUCGAAUUACCAUUGUACCCCUGGGGGGUAGGCCUAUAUAAACCCCCCAAGGCACCCAUGCAAAGGGUUGGAUCCCAGUAGUUCUAUACCAUACCAGAUAGAAGGAGAGAGCUAGCCUUGCCCUCUCCUACCACCAGACACAGCUCAAAGAGCAACCGUGUAAGCACUUGACCAUAGUGAUCACGCGGAGACCCCGCAGAGCAGCAGUAGGGGUAUUAUCUCCCCGGAGAGCCCCGAAGCUGGGUAAGAUUCGCCGGCGUGCAUGUCUUCGCCUCAUCCCGUUUCCAGGCACCGGCGACCUUCUACUCGCCCCCACCAUGAUAAGCCAUCCGUUGGCAUAUGUCGCACCAAACCCCCGACAGUCCCCUUCCAUACAGCCUCAAAAAUAAAUUUGAUACAAUUAACCAUGAAUAAAAUGCCAUAAAAGGGUAGUUUCCUAAUAAUUACAGCACAAACAGCUCCCUCUCCCCCAGAUGAUCCACGAAUGGAAGGAUCUGGGAUCAAAAUCGGCUCCUCCUUCAAAUCCCGCUGACAUCUCAUACUGACACCCGGAAUGAAAGGAUGACCUGCUAAAUCUACAAAAUUAUCCUCUGCAACCCGAGCAUAAUUGAUAGUCUUAAUAAACAAGGAAAUAGAAACACCAUAAAUACGCCGUUUCCAAGUAAUAUCAGCGGAAUUUUCUCUAUUGCCUUUAGAGGAAUUAAAUUCCAGUGUUUCCAAAGGUAAUAUCGGAGUAAGUGACCACGGGUAGCCUAGCCGGCUCCCCCUGGCCUUUCUGAAAAAAUUACGAGCCGAUCCGGCUCUCAAGAAUCCAAGACAUGGGGCCGCCUUCCCCUGGCCGGCUGUCUCCUAGGCCGGCUAUUGGAAGGCGGCCCGACUUCAGCCCUCAUGAAGAAAGCCGCGGGAGGGCCAGCUCCGAGGAGCCGGCUGCGAGAAGGCCGACCCCAAGGAGCCGGCUCCCAUAAAGCAGUCAAGACCGUACCACCGAAGUCUGCAUCCACAUAACGGCGAUGUGACGGGGCGUGGCUACAGUCAAGCCUGCCACCCCCGAAUCCCGGAGCUCACCUGGCACAGUGCACCGUACGGGUGGCCAUGACCCGUCCAGCGCAGCACUGUUGCCACACUGACCCUGAUGUCAUCCACGACGGGCUACCAGUACGGCCCAUGGACGGUGGGCCCCGUCAGGCAGAGAGACACCUGAAGGCGGCCUGGCCUCCCCCAGUUGGCCCGAGACGGAGCCGGCUCUCUCCAGCCGGCUUGCCACCCCCUCGAAUGAGACGCCCCAUUAAGGAGACAAGACGCAGUGAGGCUACAGUGGUCACCCGCCGGACGGCAGCACUGUAGCCAUGCUUACCUCGGCGAAGCCCUUGUCACCAAGAUUGAGCAACAGUAACCAGCCACCGACAAGGCCCUGGACAGUGGGGCCUGCCUGUCGACCAGGGAGCCGGCAGCCGGCGGGACCCACCAGUCGGCGGGCCCCAGCAGCCGGCGCAGAAGCCGGAGAGCGAAGACACAGACGGCUGGGCCCCACGCCCAGCCGGAUUACCAUUGUACCCCCGGGAGGGUAGGCCUAUAUAAACCCCCCGGGACACCCAUGCAAAGGGUUGAUCCCUGCUAGUUUUAGACACCACGUAGGGAGGAGAAGAGAGCAAGCAGAGCCCUUCUUUCUCCUCUCGUCAAACAACUCAAGGAGCAUCGUGUAGCUACUUGUUCAUCUAGUGAUCACGCGGAGACCCCGCAGAGCAGUAGUAGGGGUGUUAUCUCCACGGAGAGCCCCGAAGCUGGGUAAGAUUCGUCGGCGUGCAUGUCUUCGCCUCAUCCCGUUUCCAGGCACCGGUGAUGUUUUACUGGCUCCCACAAUGAUAAGCCACCCGCUGGCAUAUGUCGCACCUACCACCCGACAUUUGGCGCCCACCGUGGGGCCAGGUGCACCGUCGUCCGGAAACCUGUUCUGGACGGGAACCCUCUUCCUCCCCCGCGAGCGUAGCCAGCCUGGCACGCCUGAUGGCGCUUGCCACGACGCGCUGCAAGGCGUCACCAACGCCUGCGCAGCGAGCAGCCUCGCUGAUCUCCUCGACAAGACCCUCAUCUCCGACGAGCUCGCCUCCGACACGGGCACCGACCACCUCGUCAACCUCCUCGGCCGGCUCCAUGUCCCUGGCGAGCCUGCUGUGGACUUGGAGUCGGUUGGCUCCACAGAUCCGAUGCCUGUCGACUCCGACACGGCCUAGUUCGACACCUUCCCCACCAACGUCACGAUCUACAAUGACCCGCUUCCCCGAGCCGAUGGCUGCGACGCUGUCACCACCGAGGUGAUGGUCAUCAGCCACGACGGCGCUGCUGAUGAGAGCGCCCACGACGCCCCGCACACGGCGGUCCACGACUUGUCCAUCCCCCUCCCGGCCGACACUGACGCUGAAGCACUAGAGGCUCACCGCCUCGCCUUCCUCGCGGAAGGCCGGAAAUUGGUUUCCAUGAGAUGCCUCGCUGAGGCCCACCGACGCGAGGCCGACCGCGCCGCCUUUGGCACGCCGCCCCCAGGCGGGCCCAGCCGGGUCGGCAUUGUCAGACAGCGCGGCGCUGUCGUUGCCGACACGUUAGGAGUCGACCGCCCAGUCUACGCCACUCCACUCGAGAACCUGCGCGCCGCCCAGGCGGCCGUAGACGAGCUAGACGGACUGGGGGCCGAAGAACUCCCCCACAUUACCCGACGCAUCCAGCAGCUGAUCGAUGCAGCCGCGCAGCGGCACGAAGCCGACGCCCGCGUGGAAAGCCCUCCCCCGCGCCGAGAUCACGGCGCGAUGUCCCGGACGCCGACUGCGGGUAGAGACCGCGCGCGGCGCGAGAAAGAGCCGGCUGCCAGCCGAAGCCAAACCCGGAUCUCCGUCGAGCGAGACGCAGAAGGCCACCCUCGGGCCGUGGAGUGGCAGGGCAACCCGCCUCCGCCCCGGCCCCAUGGAGAGAGGUAUCCCACCCCUCCGCCGGUGGCGCAUCCGACUCUCAGCGGCUGACUAGGUCGCCGCGAAGGAGUCGGCGAAAACGACGCCCGCCAUCGGAUCGACCGCCUGGCGCGAUCCCUGGCGCUGGAAGAAGAAGACGAUGUCGGUCCGCCUUGCUUCAGCCCCCGCAUCCGCGACGAGCCCUUCCCCAAAGGGUUCUCGCUCCCAAGAGACACGCCCAAGUACAACGGCUCCGUGAAGCCGGAAGAUUGGUUGAUCAACUACUCCACAGCGGUUAGCAUAGCCAAUGGCAACCGGCGCGUUGCCGUGCAGUACGUGCCCCUCAUGCUGCAAGGCACAGCGCGGACCUGGCUCAACAGCCUCAAACCACGCAGCAUCAACAGCUGGCUAGAUUUCACAGAAGCUUUCGUCCGCAACUUCACCAGCACCUACAAGCGGGCUCCCAAGCCCAGACAGCUCUCCUUGUGCGUACAAGGCCCCGCCGAGUCAACUCGCGACUACCCCACGCGUUUGGCCGAGCUCCGCAACUCUUGCAAAGGGGUGCACGAGGUGCAAGACAUCGAAUACUUCACAGCCGGGUGUCGAGAAGGCACCCUCCUCAAGCACAAGCUUCUCUGCGACGAGCCGACUACCCUCGACGAGCUUCUGGACAUAGUGGACAAGUACGCCACCGCCGACUCCUCAAUGAAGACCGAGCUCCGGGUAGAUGCAUCCGGAAAAGUACUCAACCCGGCACCCAAGACGCCGGCUGGGGAUUCCGGCCGACGCCCACACUCGAACGACCACAAGCACAAGGGCCCCGCGCCACCUCCCGCUAGUCGGCAGGUGGCCACAGUCGAAGACGUGCCGCCCGAAGGGCGGCCCGCGCCCAAGAAACCCAAGGGCGGCAGGCCGGCUUGGCAGCCGACCUUCUCCUACGAGCAAACUCUCAACGCCCCGUGCAAGUUCCACAGCGGCGCGAAGCCGUCCAACCACACAACCCGGAAGUGCCAUUGGCUCACCCGAAUCUGCAAAGGCGAAGGGCUCGCACCGCCUCCGCCUGCCGGCCCGCCGCCUUCGGUUCCGCCGGUGCCGGCCGCUCGGCCCGCAGUCGGAGCCGUGCAUGAUGAGUUCCCCGACGAGCAUGCCGCCUAUAUCAUCUUUACAAGCCAGCCCGAAGACCGGCGCAACAAAUGCCGAGAGAACGAGGAAGUCAGCAUGGUUGCUGCCAACCCCGUCGAGCACAUGCACUGGUCGGAAAAACCCAUCAGCUAGAGCCGGGCCGAUCACCCAGAGGUGAUGCCAUCUCCCGGCUCUUAUGCGUUGGUUCUGGAUGCCACCCUUGCAACGGACAGACGCGCCGCCUGCUUCUCCCGUGUGUUGAUAGACGGCGGGAGCAACAUCAACAUCUUGUACCGCGACACCCUGGAGAAGCUGAACGUCAAGACAAAGCAACUCAUGCCUACUCGAACAGUGUUCCAUGGCAUCGUACCCGGCCUGUCCUGUGCCCCCAUUGGCAAGAUCAAGAUUGAUGUACUUUUUGGGGACAAGGAGCAUUUCCGCCGGGAAGCGAUCUAGUUUGAAGUGGUGGACCUGGAGAGCCCUUACCAUGCAUUGCUUGGCCGACCUGCCUUGGCCAAAUUCAUGGCAGUUCCCCACUAUGCAUACCUCAAGAUGAAGAUGCCAAGCACCAAAGGCGUCAUCACCAUAGCCGGCGAUUACAAGAAGUCCUCUGAGUGCGCAGCAGCCAGCAGCCGGCUGGCCGAGUCCCUUGUGAUUGCCGAAGAAAAGAAGAUGUUGGACCGAGUCUGGCCAUAGCCGGCAAGCAGUCGGCCUUGUCCCCCGAUCCCAAGGAGCAUGAUGCUCAAGGAUCUUUCCAGCCGGCCAAGGAGACAAAGAAGAUACCUCUUGACCCCGAGCACCCAGAGAGGUUUGCCGUCAUUGGGGCAAACCUAAACAGCAAAUAGGAAGGUGAGCUCGCCGAUUUCCUCCAUGAGAAUCGGGACAUCUUUGCAUGGUCCCCCAAGGACAUGCCGGGCGUCCCGAAGGAAUUCGCCGAGCACAAACUACACGUCCGAGAAGACGCAAAGCCAGUCAAACAACCCCUUCGCCGACUGUCGGAGAAGAAACGCAGGAUUGUGGGAGAGGAGAUAGCCCGGCUUCUGGCAGUCGGCUUCAUUAUGGAAGUUUUCUUUCCAGAGUGGCUCGCCAACCCGGUCCUCGUGCUAAAGAAGAACAACAAGUGGCGCAUGUGUAUAGACUACACGAGCCUCAACAAGGCCUGCCCCAAAGACCCCUUUGCCCUGCCGAGGAUUGGCCAAGUGAUAGACUCCACGGCCGGAUGCGAGCUGUUGAGUUUCUUGGAUGCUUACUCAGGGUAUCACCAGAUAAAGUUGGAUCCGGCAGACCGCCUGAAGACCACCUUCAUCACGCCAUUCGGAGCCUUCUGCUACCUGACUAUGACAUUCGGCUUGAGAAAUGCCGGUGCCACUUUUUAGCGUUGCAUGCAGAAGUGCCUCCUCAAGCAACUCGGCAGGAAUGCCCACGUCUACGUAGACGACAUUGUGGUGAAGACGGAGAAGCGCGGCACCUUGCUGGAAGACCUCAAGGAAACAUUUGAGAACCUACGCCGGUUCCAAAUCAAGCUUAACCCCGAGAAAUGCGUGUUCGGAGUACCAGCCGGCCAGCUCCUAGGCUUCCUGGUCUCCAAACGCGGCAUCGAAUGCAACCCAGUAAAGAUCAAGGCCAUUGAGAGAAUGGCGAUUCCCACCAAACUUCGAGACGUCCAGAAGUUUACCGGAUGCUUGGCCUCCCUAAACCGCUUCAUCAGCCGGCUCGGAGAGAAAGCUCUCCCCCUCUACCGCCUCAUGAAGAAGACCACUCACUUCGAGUGGAAUGACCAAGCUGACCAAGCUUUCCACGAGCGGAAGAAGAUGCUGGCCACACCGCCAGUCCUAGCGGCGCCGACUGAGAAAGAGCCCAUGCUCCUCUACAUUGCCGCAACCAGCCGGGUGGUCAGCACCGUCAUUGUAGUCCAACGCCCAGAAGAAGGCCGAGCCCAGCCGGUCCAGAGGCCGGUCUAUUAUUUGAGCGAGGUGCUGUCUACCUCGAAGCAGAACUACCCGCACUACCAGAAGAUGUGCUAUGGCGUGUACUUUGCCGCCAAGAAGCUGAAGCCCUACUUCCAAGAGCAUCCCAUCACGGUCGUAUGCACCGCCCCGCUGGCCGAGAUCAUAGGCAGCCGGGAUGCAUCCGUCCGGGUGGCAAAAUGGGCCAUCGAGCUGGCCCCUUACACGAUCUUCUACCAGCCUCGCACCGCCAUCAAGUCCCAAGCAUUGGCCGACUUCCUCGUCGACUGGGUCGAGACCUAGUACAUACCGCCGGCUCCCGACUCCACUCAUUGGCGCAUGCACUUCGAUGGGUCCAAGAUGCGCACCGGCUUGGGAGCCGGCAUCAUCCUCACCUCUCCCAAAGGCGACAAGCUCAGAUACACGCUGCAAAUUCACUUUGCCGCCUCCAACAACGUGGCCGAGUACGAGGCGCUCAUACACGGGCUCCGGCUUGCCAAAGAACUCGGCAUUCGCCGGAUCCUAUGUUAUGGCGACUCAGACUUGAAGGUCCAGCAAUCAUCCGGCGACUGGGAUGCCAAGGACGCAAAUAUGGCAAGCUACCGCUUCCUCGUUCAGCAGACCAGCGGGUAUUUUGAAGGAUGCAAAUUCCUCCACGUACCGCGAGCCGACAACGAGCCAGCUGAUGCUCUGGCUCGAAUAGGCUCCACCCGGCAAGCAAUACCAACUGGCGUCUCUCUACAACGCCUCCUCAAGCCGUCUAUCAAGCCGUCUCCAGAGUCCGAUUCCAUCUUCGUGCCGCCUGACCCCGAUGCGGCCGGGUCUGGCUCGAAGAACCAAGCAGGUGGCCCGGGGACAUCGAUAGUCGGCCAGGGGGUAUCAGCAGGUGGCUCGGGGACUUCCGUAGUUACGCCCGACCCGGGGACUGCCUCACCCGGCUCGGGGACUGCGGUAGUCGGCCCGGAGACUACACCAACACAACAGGCGGCGGCCGACUCCAGCAUUUCACCACCCAGCCCGCCCGCCCUGCUCACAGUAGCCAUUUUGGCAAUAGAAGAAGUCACAGCUCCGUCAUGGGCUCAAUCCAUCCUCAACUUCCUAAUAAACCAAGAUCUGCCGGCUGACGAAGUAGAGGCAAGACAAGUCCAACGCCGAGCUGGAGCAUACACAAUCGUCAAUAGAGAGCUCGUCAAGUGCAGUGUCACUAGAGUCCUCCAGCGAUGCAUCGAGCAAGAGAAGGGCAUUGCAAUCCUCAGAGACAUCCACCAAGGAGAAUGUGGCCACCAUGUGGCCUCAAGAUCACUCGUCGCCAAAGCCUUCCGCCAUGGUUUCUUUUGGCCGACUGCUUUGGAUGACGCCAAGGAGUUAGUUAAAAAGUGCAAAGGGUGCCAACUCUUCAGCUCCAAGCAACACAUGCCAGCUUCAGCACUCAAGACCAUUCCCCUCACCUGGCCCUUCGCCGUUUGGGGACUAGACAUGGUGGGCCCAUUCAAGACAGCGCGCGGCGGCAUGACACAUCUGCUUGUCGCCGUGGACAAAUUCACCAAAUGGAUUGAAGCAAAGCCGAUCAAGAAGCUGAAUGGGCCGACUGCCGUCACAUUUAUCGCAGAUAUAACAACUCGGUACGGCGUGCCACACAGCAUCAUCACCGACAAUGGCACAAAUUUCGCCAAGGGAGCCUUGGCACGUUUCUGCGCGACGCUAGGCAUCUGGUUGGAUCUAGCAUCCAUCGCCCACCCGCAGUCAAACAGCCAGGUCGAGCGAGCCAACGGCCUCAUCCUUUCCGGCAUCAAGCCCCGACUAAUCGUACCACUGGAGCGUUCAGCCGGCUGUUGGCUCGAUGAGCUGCCGGCUGUCCUUUGGAGUCUGCACACUACACCAAACAAGUCAACCGGCUUCACCCCUUUCUUCCUCGUGUAUGGUGCCGAGGCGGUCAUCCCAACUGACAUCAAGUUCGACUCGCCUCGAGUAACCAUGUACACGGAAGCGGAGGCCAAGGAAGCACGAGAAGACGGCGUCGACCUGCUAGAAGAAAGUCGGCUGUUAGCCCUCAGCCGGUCCGCCAUCUAUCAGCAGGGCCUGCGCCGCUACCACAGCUGGAAGG